rnacentral:lncRNA from 1 species
CCAUGACAUAGAUAAACUUUUCAUUUGCUUAACAUUGUUCAAAGGGCUUGACAUUGCUCAACAUUAUCUGAGCUUUUCUCCUACAGAUGCUUCUUUGGCAUGGCAAUGCAACCAGACUUAAGGCGAUGGCACUCACUUACAUACUCUGCAAGAGCCCACAAUGGAAAAAUAUUCCUGUAAUCUGCAUAGUGUAACAUGCAGUUCUUCAUGAAGGCUCCAGUGAUUUCCUGCCAUAGAUAAUUGAUGAUCAAAUGGUUAGACUACCACCCAGUAUAUAUAGUCAGCUACAAAAGAACAUCAUUUUCCAUUUCCCAAAACCAUGUUAAAAUGUUACACCUUUGGUUUUUUAUUCAUGUUCAAGUGAGCUACCUGUUGGGGAAAAUCACCAUCUUCCAUUUGGGAAUUAAUCAACAGCUUUGCAGCCCUGUGAAGGGGUGUUGGGUCUCUCUCCGCCUGUUAUAAAGGAAGGUUAGACUCAGAUGUUUGGGGAUAAGCCAUAUUGUGAAAAUAAUGUAGAAGACCAAGUUAAGCUUAUUGAUGGUGGAACUGUAUAAACUGACCUGCCCAGAAGAAAGCAGCCCCAUCAGAGCCCACCCGGUUUGUACCAGAUUUGACUUGUUUCCUUCAAGAUGUGUAAGUUUCUGUAUCACCAAGCACAAGGAUUACUUGUUUUUCUGCAUGUAUCUACCAGAGAACAGAGCAGUGGGUGGCAAGUAAGAAUUACCUUGUCCUGGCAAGAAAUAUAGCUCUCUCCCCAACCACCAUCAUCUCUUUGUGAUUUGAGUAGAAACUCAACAGCUCUACCAAUAGCAAGACAGUUGUGGUAAGUCCUGCCAGCAGCUGCUAGGCCCCCAAGUGCAAACCAUGAGCCAUAGGUGAAACAUACUCCCCAAUUGCCAUACCUGGUGAAAUGAUUCCUUGUUUAAAUGGAUCUGCACUGCAUAUAUAAAAAGAGCUUUCCCCAGUGAAAUGGUAAUAGUGGAGUUGAGAAACAUACCAUGAGCCAUCAGGCAUUUGUUGGUCUUCAAUGUACUUGGUAGCAUUUGUGAUGAAAUUGUCUAUCUCCUUCGUCCUGUGUUGGGGGUAUAACUUCUUAAACAAAACCAGAGCCUGAAUUGCUGAUGCAGUGCACUCGACAUACCUGGAUCAUCAUUUUGUUAGUCUUCAAGGAAGUUAAAAGCUAGUAGAGUUAGAAAAAAAAGCUGGUCUAUUAUCAAGAAUUUUACUCAUGCUCGAUGACAAUGUCUUCAAAAAUUUCAGAGGGGUUGAACAGCUGAAAAGAGAAGGGAUUGACAUUGAUUUAGAUUCAAAGAAUACAGAGAGAGAGAUAAAACGGAAACAUUGAACUUACUUAAACAAGUUGAAGUAAUUUACCUCCAACCAUUCUGAAGCUCCUGCAGGCUCCCAGACUGCUAAACCACCAUUUUUACUCUGCAGUGGCUUUGAAAACAAGGGUUAUUGAUACUAAGAAGUUAUAACCUGUUUUGUGAUGGGGACAACCAUGGAAAUGGCCCAAGGAAGAUGAUUCUCACCUGUAGGGAAAGCAGGAUGUUGACAGAAUCAAAUAGUCGUUCGGGUUCCAUACCAACAAUUUCUGGUGCCAUCAUUGAAAAGAGGAGACAACACUGUAACAGAGGGUACUUCAGUGAGAAACCAAGUGACUUUAGUUAAUCUACAAGCCCUGACUCAAUUAAGUGUUUGAACAAAAAAAAUUACCUUCAAACCUUCUGCAGUGCAAUCAGAAACUUGCCAACCAUGAUCCUGAUCUGAGAAUGUCCACGAUCCUUGGGAAAUUUUGCGAUACAUGCUUUUAAAGUCACCAGAAGGAUUGUCCUUGACCUUCAAGAUUUCAAGCAAUAUGAAGCAAAUAGACCAUGAGAAACCCAAGUAGAUUCUGGUUGAAGUCAAGACACAAACCUGAGAUUCCUUUAUGAAUUCAUGUCCUUUCUUGAGUGUAGGUCCAAUUUCAUUUGUCAUAUUGCAAGCUAGCAGGGCUUGAAGGGCAAAACCAGUGUCCCACUCUUGACUACCAAAGGUCUACAACAAUCGACAAUUUCAAAACCAAUUUAGGCAGGAGAGGAUAAAAGCAUAGCUUCAAACCAGUUGCACACUUGAAAUAUUUUAAGAAAAAGAUGAAUAGAUAUUAUCUAAUUUUCCUACAACUGUUUGGGAGAUUAGUGAUUGAAUUAACUUGUCUUCUGACCUGCAUCUUUAUUCCAUCUUCUGCAACCCAUAUAAAAUCUGGGAUCCUAGCAAGGUGCUUCUUGAAAUAAUCCCCAUUUGGAUCUUCAACCCAACAUGUGAGCAUACACAAUGCCUGUUCAACUUAAGCCAUAUCAGUAUCCUAAAGAACUGACAUAUUGUCUAAAUAGAAGUUAUCCACUGCAGAAAAAAACCUUCUCCACACUUGCAAUAGUGAUGUAUCUACUGUUUUCAUCUUCAUAAUGGAUGUGUUUCAUUGUUACUUCAAGAGCCUUCUGUCUCAACUUGUUGAAGGGCCAACGAGUAAGAAGAGGCUCGGUACAUAUGUACAAACUAUCCCACAUCAGAUCUUGUAUUAGGGGAUGGGGGUAGUAGAGAUCCUCCUACAAUAAACAUAUUUGAAUGUGUGUUUCAUGCAUGCGUAGCAUAUUCAUCGGAAAAGGAAAAGUGUUCCAUACAAAAUCAAAACUUACCUUUGCACAAAGAUGCCGUACUUUUUUCCAGUUGAUUUCAUUAUAUGCUUGAAGGAAGAGCUCUUCUCUUAGUUCUAGAACAAGAGGCGUGAUUGGGCCAACGAAUCGUUUACCAUAUAGGUAUGACAUGGGCAUGUAAACCAACCGACUGUAGCACCACAUUUUUGCUGCAUUUAUGGACUCAAAUUACAAGAAGCUCAACCAACGAUAGGAAAAUGAAAGUUAGACCAAAGUAGACAUGGGAAUGUCAUUUCUUGAGACUAAUAAACCAUCCCCAGGUUGAAUUUUUAAGUAUUCAUGCGUGAUCUUAUAAUUGUAUAAGGCUGAAGUUACACAGCUUUUGGCUUAAACAUUUCGAGUCCGUGUGACCAAUUCCAAGUUUUAUGUAAGAAGACCCUAGGAUGUAAAAUGCAUUAAGUGCAGAAGUAGAUGUGAAAUUCAAGCACUUGAGUAGAUGACUACAGCACAAACCUGGAUGCAUAGGAAGACGAGAAGGGAAAAGCCAAAACUCUGGGGGCAUUGGGUUGCUUCCUGACCAGUCAAACAAGCCAAAAAUCUACACGGAAGAAGGAAUAUCAUAUAAGAUUCAGUCCAUCACACAAGAAUGCAUUGUAUAGGAUGAAUGUGAACUUGUGUUUCAAGUGGCCAUACUGAAAGCCAAGUCUUUCCCCAAGAGGGAAUGGAUGUCACUCCACCACGAUCGAGGAUCCAUUUACGCCCUCUUGCACAAGCAUUGUCUCUACCACCAUCGCGCCCUUCUCCAAGGAUACGCAUACAAAUGUAGCUGAGUGUUGUACAAAACAUUGUGCUGUGUCCCUCAAUAUGCAAUCCCCACCCACCAUCUUCAUUCUGCCAUGUACAUAAGCCAUUUUCAUACUUCAAAGCUCCAAGCCCAUUUAUGAGGUUAGGAUGAUGACUAGGUUCAAAAUAUAUAUACCUGAUGACAGUAUAGGUAGCGAAGAAUUUCUUUACGAUAUUCUCCAGGGAAUACAGUGUCAAGAUGCCCUGUAAUGUAUAGACACAUGACCUGCAUUUUCCAUGAAAUUAUUCCAUUGAGAAUGGCUGUUAAAAUGGUCCAUAUACAUGAUUUUAAGGAGGGUGAGAGGGUGUUGAGUAGACUCACCAGGGGAGGAAGGAAAUACAAUGGGCCAGCAUUUUCAGCAGGCCAAUGGCCAUCACUAGCCUGCAAAGCUGAAAAGAAAUGGGCACCCCUUCUCACUGCUGCUGUGGCUGUCUCAUAUGUAAUUUCUUCACCAUCCCCAACCUUCGCUUGUGGUAUUGUUUGUUUGAAAUUUUUCUCUCUCAAAAACUGCAGUUUAUUUAUUUAUUUUUUUUGGCCAAAUGAAAUGGGAGUUAGUGAAGAACAAGUUUAAAAGAAAAGGUAAAUUAACCUCAAUAGUAAGCAUCUAUUUAUACAAUUGUUCGAAGCUAAGAGAAUCAAGAUAGAGUUGCAAUUGUUAAAGAGCAUAAUAUGUAUUUUGGGUCCAAAUGCUACAAACUUAACCUUUUAGGAAAUUAGUUGUUCAUCAUGGUAUCAAAGCUCGAUUUUGGAAUGGGUCUUACCUUUCAUUGUCUGACAAUCUGAUUGAUGGUGUCUCAACCAGCUCAAAAGAAAAGAAAAGAAAAGGUAAAUUAAGCUCAAUAGUAAGCAUCUAUUUAUACAGUUGUUCCAAGCUCAGAGAAUCAAGAUAGAGCUCACAAUUGUUAAAGCACAUAAUAUAUAUUUUGGGUUCAAAUCCUACAAACUCAACCUUUUAGGAAAUUAGUUGUUCAAUAUGAUAUCAAAACUUGGUUUUGGAAUUGGUCUCACCUCUCAUUAUCUAGCAAUUUGGUCGAUGGUCUCUUAACCUAGGGCCUGGUGUAUGAGGGGAAUAUUGUUGGGUUUUCCCAUAUCUCUUAUAGAAGGAAUUGGGUGACUCCUUAUCAGUGUGAGGGAAAAUAUCUCCCUUUAAGUUAAUUUUUAGGGUGAUAAGGCCCAAAAUCACCCAAUAGUAGUAUCCCUAAUAUAUCCUCUCUUUUUUUUUGGUUUUACUUUAUGAUAUCUUAACCUCAUUAGGUGGGAGGUGAGCCUCAUAUGGUGGCACACUAUGGGCACCUUGUUUGAUGAAGUCAAGUGGUAUCAAUACAUGUUUUUUUUUUCCCAAUUCAUUAAGUUCAAGUGUAAGCCCGAAAAUAGAAGCUAGGCAUGUAUGAGGGAGAGGAAGGGUGUUAUAGAGAGAGAGAGAGAGAGGUGGGAGGUGAGCCUCAUAUGGUGGCCCACUAUGGUCACCUUGAUCGAUGAAGUCAAGUGGUAGAGAGAGAGAGAGAGAGAGAGGUGGGAGGUGAGCCUCAUAUGGUGGCCCACUAUAGUCACCUUGAUCGAUGAAGUCAAGUGGUAGAGAGAGAGAGAGAGAGGUGGGAGGUGACCCUCAUAUGGUGGCCCACUAUAGUCACCUUAGAGAGGUGGGAGGUGAGCCUCAUAUGGUGGCCCACUAUGGUCACCUUGAUCGAUGAAGUCAAGUGGUAUCAAUACAUGUUUCUUUUCCCAAUUUAUUAAGUUCGCAUGUAAGCCCGAAAAUAGAAGCUACACAUGUACGAGGGAGUGGGAGGGUGUUAGAGAGAGAGAGAGAGAGAGAGAGGGUAAUCAAACAUAUGGAAACGAAUUAAAUAAGAAAGCUAGCUAUGUAGCUAGACUACGUAAAAGAAGGAGUAUGUAUGCAUGGAAGACAUGUACGUUCAUUUAAAAACGGGAAUCUAGGAUGCAGAUGACAGAUAAAUAUCUGUUGUGAUAUCAAGACUAGAGAUAGAUGGGAUCAAACCACCUGCAUCCGCCAAAGGAGGUCGCUGCUGGGCUUAACCUGAAACCGGUUUUUCCAGAAAUUCUCACGAGCUGCUUCGACCUCAGCUCGCUCUUCUGUGGUUCCAUAGUCAGGAUCAAACUCCCAUAUCUGUCUUCCCACGAAGUUGUUGGUGCUGUAGAUGUAGGGAUCAUUGCCUCCAUCUGCAACCUUGAGCCUCCACAUUUUCUAACGCACCAAACAGACGAGAUAUAUCUCUAUGUAUAUCUAAGUUUACAAAUAUGUGCGUCUCCCUUCCGAAAACACCUGCUGAUCAUGAAAUCACCAGAAAGGUAAGACAAGCUUUUCUUUGCAGUAAAAUUAAGUUAAAAUGAUACAGACCAAGGACAGAGAGAUAGGUGCUGGGUGGGCAGAGAAGAGAGAGACUUCAGAAACUUGGAAUGGCGAGUUCCAGGUGGGAAUCACUCAUUCAUAUAGAAGCACAACACCAAGUCAGUCACCAACCCCCAUCACUUCUAUUAAUUCUUUUUUCACCCACUUCAAGUAUUUUAUGGAAUUUUUCACCUACCCCCACCAAGUUUGUGGAAUUUUUUGACUUUCAAUUAUUUUUUAUUGAUAUAUUUUAUUUCAAAGAAAAGCUUGUCUUACCUUUAUGGAGCCUCUGAUAUAAGGAUGGUGUCUUUGCAAUAAAAUUUUAUGGAAUUGAUAUAUUUUUUAAUUAAAGAAUCCCAUGCAUUAAUUUUAUUUAAAUAAAGUUUAUUUACUCAAUAAAAAUAUAUAAUUAUGUGCUAAUCAUAAUUAUAUAUUUUCUAAUUAAUUUCAUUUUCUACAAAUCAAUGCUAAUCUAAUGAGGGCCUACUAUAAUUUCAUUUUCUUGUAUAAAAUAUUCUUCAAACUUCUUAUGGUAUUAGAGCAACAUGGCCAAGAAUUCUACCUCACAAUUCAAUCUUUUCACCAAUGCGCAAGCUUGGUAUUUGUGAAGCUAUUUUUUUUUUUUAUCAAUUUUUACCUUUAAUCAAGAGUCUUUAUCUUGAAAAUCACCUUACAAAUGUUGGGGCUCCACUAGAAGAAAUAGAAAAUGAAGAUGGCAAGAAGGAAGUGAAUCCAAGCUACACAAUCAUAUAGGGUUUAUAAAAAAAUAUAAAGUAUUACCAUUAGAGGACAAUCCUCUAAUUGUUGAAAGAAGACAAACAUUUCAAUACCAAUUCCUCCUCCUAUCAUUCUUGACACAUAGUCUACAGUUACUAUCACUACACUUUCCAUCAUGGAAGCACCUUUUUCUUGAGCUUUGACCCAAAAUAGUGCGUUUUUAAAAAAAAUUCCAAAAAAUAAAGUUGUUUUCUAAAUAAUGUUCGAUCUAAUGCGUCUGUACCACAUAAGCUGCCACGUCAUAAAACCGUAGUUGGUGACUACGGUUUUAUUUUUCUAAAGUGGUUAGAAACCGUAGUUACCAACCACGGUUUUAACUUUAAGUUUAAAGCCGUAGUUGGUGACUACGGCUUUGACUUUUUUUUAAAAUGGUCAAAGCCGUAGUCACCAACUGCGGUUUUAACUUUAUAUAUUUAUAUAUAACUUUAAUUUUUUUAAUAAAAAUAUUAUAUUAUUUUGCUUUUAAAUAUACUUAUUUUAUUAUUUUAAUAAUAAUAAUAUAUGAAAUUAAAUAAUUGAUAUUUUUAAUUUGAUAUAAAUAUAUUUUAAAAUUUUAUUAAAAUAAUAUACUCUAUAUUUAAUAUAAAUAUAUUUAGUUAAUUAUAUUUAAAUAUAAAUAAAAUAUAAUAAAUUAUGAAAGCCUAUUAAAAAACAAAUAAUAUAAAUUAUUAUAUUAAUUAAUAAUUUUUUAUAUACUAUAUGUAAGUGGUAUAUAAUGUCACAUGUAUAUAAGUUCAAUUAAGUUUAAAAUUUAUUAUAUUUUAAUUUAAGUUCAUAAUAUUAUAUCGAUAUGAUAAUAAUUUAUUUAUAUAUUUAAAUAAAUAUGCCAUAUAUAUAUAUAUAUAUAUAUAUGUGUGUGUGUGUGUGUGUGAUAUUAUAUACUACUUACAUAUAAUAUAUAAAAAAAUUAUUAAUUAAUAUAAUAAUUUAUAUUAUUUUUUUCUCCAAAUAGGCAUUUAUAAUUUAUUUAUUUUAAAUAAACAUAAUUUAUUAUAUUUUAUUUAUAUUUAAUUUUAAUUAAAUAAUUAUAUUUAUAUUAAAUAUAGUGUCAAUUAUUUUAAUAAAAUUUAUUUAUAUAUUUAAAUAAAAAUGUGAUAAAUUUUAAACUUAAAUUAAACUUUUAUAUAUAUAUAUAUAUAUGUGUGUGUGUGUGUGAGAGAGAGAGGUAUUAUAUACCACUUAUAUAUAAUAUAUAAAAAAUUAUUAAUUAAUAUAAUAAUUUAUAUUAUUUUUUUAUUUUUCUAAAUAGGCAUUUAUAAUUUAUUUAUUUUAAAUAAAUAUAAUUUAUUAUAUUUUAUUUUAAUUAAUUAAUUAUAUUUAUAUUAAAUAUAGUGCGUUUUAAUAAAAUUUAAAAAUAUAUUUUUAUAUCAAAUUAAAAAUAUCAAUUAUUUAAUUUCAUAUAUUAUUAUUUUUAAAAUAAUGAAAUAAGUAUAUUUAAAAUCAAAAUAAUAUAAUAUUUUUAUUAAAAAAAAUUAAAGUUAUAUAUAAAUAUAUAUAAAGUUAAAACCGCAGUUGGUGACUUCGGCUUUGACCAUUUUAAAAAAAAGUCAAAGCCGUAGUCACCAACUACGGCUUUAAACUUAAAGUUAAAACCGUGGUUGGUAACUACGGUUUCUAAUCACUUUAGAAAAAUAAAACCGUAGUCACCAACUACGGUUUUAUGAUGUGGCAGCUUAUGUGGCACAGACGCAUUAGAUUGGACAUUAUUUUGAAAACAACUUUAUUUUUUGGAAUUUUUUUUUAAAACACACUAUUUUGGGUCAAAGCUCCUUUUUCUUUUCACAAAGUCCAUUUCAACCACCUUUACACCUGCUCCUUCCUCUCCACCAUCUCUACACUCCACACUAUAUUUAAUAAACCAAUUAUUUAUCAAUCUUCCAAUUGCCCCAACUUCUCUAUCAACACAACCUAUGCCUAACGAUACAUCCCUCUCCUUCACCAAAACAACCCACACAACUUCCCACUUGCAUUAACACUAUGGCUAGUCACCUAUCCAAAAUUGAGACAAAUACGUUAUUUGGCUCUCCAUGUUAGCCAUUCAACUCAUAUUGAACCUAGAACUCUUAAAUAAAAACUUAAACAACCUCAUUAGGUGGUUGGUAUGGAGGACGAAAUAAACAACUAGAGGUUAAAAAUGUCUUCUUAAUUGACCAUCUCAAGGAAAUGACCCUAAUUUUCCUUCACACGUUUAUCUUCUUAAAUGUUCCCUAAAUGGACUAAAGCAAGCCUCUUAAGUUUUGUUUAAGCGUUUAUCACAAGCUCUUAUUCAACUUGGUUUCUUUAAUACCAACACUGACUCAUCAUUAUUUAUUUUGCAUACAAGUUCUCUAAUUGUUUUAAUCUUAGUUUAUGCUGAUGAUGUUAUUGUAACAAGUAGCAACCCUUGCUAUAUGAUCCAAUAGAUUAUCACUAGUUUCAACUCUAGAUUUGCUUUAAAGACCUUGGCUACCUAAAAUAUUUCUUGGAAAUUGAAGUCAAAUAUUUUCAAGUUGGUUUCUUAUGGACUUGCAUUUUUCACAAGCAUUCCUACUCAAUGGCGAGACUUGUUUUUUUAGUGAAAAACUAAUUUUGAAAAAGUUAGUCACCCUUUAUUUUUGUUUAUUUUUUCAAAGGAAAAUAAAAUAUAAAAUAAAACUCUAAAAAUGACUCUUUAUUUGGAAAAAUAUGUAUUUGAAAACCAAAUCCAAAUCCUGGGGUCAAGUUACAUAUCGAGAAGGUAUCAUACGGUACCACUACCCUAAGCCCUAAAUAAAUGUCUCUACUAAUUAAAUUGAGGUAACUAUAAUUGAUUUGUAAAUCAAUGGAUGCUAAGAAUCACGAAAUAUAUAACAAAGUAAUAAUGAAAGCAUAAUUAAAGAUCACUCAAACAAGCCAUGCACACUCAAAGAAGCACUUAAAGAAGGAAAGAAAGGAACGUACCUCAUAACAUGCUAAGUGUUCUUAUAAAAUAACAUAAUGUUAACAAAUAAAGCAUAUCAAGGAAGCAUUCAAAACAAUACAUGCAUACCCAAAGAAUCAAACAAAGGAAAAAGAGAGGAAGUGUACUUUGAUAGCUAGCAAAGCACUUUCAUAAAAUCACUGAGGUUUAGUUCAUAAGUAAUAAAAAAUAUAGAUAUAAAAUCAUAGGUAAGACUUCACAAUAGAUACAACAUAUUCAUAUCUCAAAUCAUGAAAUAAAGAGAUGAUAAGGUAUGAACAAGAUGAAACAAAAUACAAUAAACAUGCUUAAAAAUUAAGAAUUGGCUAACAAGUAUUCACUCACAAAAAUUAAUCUAAAUAAAAUAUCAAAUAAGGAAUUCCAAUCCAAAGAAAGGUUCAAAUAAUGUGCAUAAUAUGUUAACAAUGUAAAUCAAUAAUCAAAGGAGCUCAAAAGCAUGCAUAAAGGGGAUCGAAUUAUAAAAAAACAUAUAGGCUAUCAUCAACAGGGCAGAACAAGGGUAUUUACAAAAUAAAUCUUAAAUAAAAAACCUAAAAUUGUUAUUUUAUCAAAAUAAAAAAUGGAGAACAUCUUCAAUAUGUAUCUAGAUCAUAAUAAAAAAUUCCAAAUUAUUUAAUUAUAUGUUAUUCAAUACCAAAUUAAAUCAAACUAAGGACACUACAUAGAACAUUCAACAUAUGAUCAAAACAGAGAUUUUUUUGAAAUAUAUCCUAAAAAAAAUCAAGAAAUGGAAUUUCAUCACAAAAAAAAUAAAAUAAAAUGGACAAUAUCUCCUAUUUCUUCUAUAUUAAAACCCAAAAGAUCAAAUUGUUUAAUCAUGUGCCAUUCAAUACCACAUUUCAUCACAAUUCAUUUUAGUAAAAAAACAGGACAAAUAUCAAAGCAUACAAGAAUUAAUUUAUUUGGCGAAUUUAGAAGUGUGGUAAAAUCACACAAAAAGUUAUACAAUUUCUUCAAUAUGAUUACAUUACAUGAAAAAUAACAGCAAGAUUAAAUCAUAUAAGAACUUAGUGAAAUUCAACCAAACAGUCCUUAACUAUAGAACAGAGCUAGUUUAGUGGGUGUAGAAAUGAAAAAUUAUUUCUCCUACUUGGGAGGUCAAUUUUGAGUGUCACAAGGAUCCAAAUUAUAAUUUAUGAAGUCUAGAUUAAGGAAAAAAACAUCAAAACAAAUUAAUGAAAUCACCAAAUAAUUUAAUUUUACAAAACUAUUUUGGGUGUCCUAUUUUGUACUGAAAUUGGACCUACUGGAAGAGUAAUUUAAAUGCCUUGCUUGGAGAAACGUUUCAAGCUCAAAAAAUAAAAAAAUAAAAAGAUAAAUAUUUCACAUAUUUAAGAAGUUUAGAACAAUAACCAAGCAUUGGAAACUUCAAAGGUGUAGUAGACUAACAACAAUGGCAAUAGAGAACCAAUUUUUGGAAAACUUUGAAUGUAGGGAUUCACUAGGUCCCUUUUUAAUUUUUAUGAAUUUAUCUAUGCUUCCUUAACCUCAUGCAAGCAUGAAUAAGCUUACUAAGGCUAGGAAUGACUCCAUUGAUUGGAGCUUUGAUUUUAAUUCAUGUAUGAGAAAAAUAAAAAAUAAAUGAAAACCUUUUCAAAUAUGCAUACCAAAUGAACAAGGUAGCAUUAUUUUUAAAAAUAUACUUCUCUUCACCCAAUUGAUCUAAGAUAACCUUUGAGGAUACACUUUAUUUUAGAAACAAUUUAAAAUACUUUCAAAAUCAUUAAAACACUUAAAAUCAUAAAUCACUAAAAAGGCACCUAAAGACAAUUGUGUGUAUCAAAAAAUGAGUAUUCAAAGUGAAGUGAAUAGGGAACUAUUUGUGCAUCUUAAAAAUGACUUAAAAAAAUGACCUUAAAGUGUGUCAAAAUUAAGCCUCUAAAGUGUCCUAAACAAGCAUAUAAAAUUCACUUAAAAGUGAAAUGAAAAAGUGAUACCAAAAAUAGAGAUACAUAGUGAAAUCAACUAAUGACUUGUGUGAGUGAUUUGUGAUGAAAGAUUAUAAAGGUCAACUAACCUAAAAAUAAAAACUAAGAGACAUGAAUCAAUGCAAAAACAGUAACAUUCAAAAACAGUAACGAAAAUGAGAAGAAAUAGGAAGAGAAAAAGAAGAUAUAGAAGAAAUCAAAACUAAAAUUAAAAUUCAGUAACUUACCUCAAACUUUCCCUUCAAAAUUCGGUGGUGUCCUCUUCACUUUUCACAAAUUUGAUCUAUGCAGCUGCAUGUGUUCUCAAUGGCUGAUGUGUGCCUUCUUCUCCAACAUUCUGCUACUAUAUCUCUUAAGGAUCAACGUUGUUGCAUGUUUUCUUGCUCCUUCACCGGAUGCUGCUACAUGUCAUGCUUUCAUCUUCCCUUAAAAAAUUCUACCGUAACUUUCACUUAAAGACAUGCAGUAAUAGCUCCAUAAUCAACCCACUCUAAUCAUCAACUGUGUACAGCCAGCUCAAGUAAAACAUGAAUAGCGUUUUUCCCUCUCUAUUUUCAUUUUAAAAAAUUAUUCCUUCUCUAGAAACUUCCCUCAAAUUAUGGCAUGCACUCAAAAAAACAAGAUAAAAAAUCACAUGCAAUCAAUCGAAAAAAAUUAAUCAUGUACUAAAAUAUUAAAAAUCAAUCAUGCAAUCACAAAUCAAAAAUCAAUUAUGGGCUUAAAAUUAAAGUCACAUGCAAUCACAAUCAAUAAUCAAAGAUGAACUUAAAAUUAAAAUCAAGCAUACAUUCCAAAUCAAGAUUCAAAUGUGAACUCAAAAUUAAAAUCACUCAUACACUAAAAAUUAAUCAUGCAAUAAAAUCAAUCACAUGCACUCAAAAUAUAAAAAAUCAUUCAUGCACUUAUAAUAUCACAAAUCAAUCAUGCACUCAAAAUAUCAAAAAUCAAUCACACACUAAAAAUCAAAUAACAAAUCAAAGUUCAUCUAACUUAAAAACUUGCAAUAAAAGUCAAAAUCAAACCUAAUGCACUAAAAAAACUUAAACUAAACAAUAGAAGGAUGCAUUAGAAAACAAACUCCUAAUCUAGAAUUAGAGCAACUAAAAAAAUCACACUUCGUAUCCAUAUAAUACUCCAAGAUAUAUCUCCAAAAGAGGUCCAAAAAUGGUCAUUAGGUGGGUAACAGUGACCACCAAUUGAUUACUACUCAAAAAGUACUCUUUUAUAGCUUGAAACUAACUGUUUUAAACACUUUUGAGUAGUAGUUAAUACAUUUUAACUCAAUUGGCACAUUAAGGAACCUAGCAAGGGUUACUAAUCAGUUUUUGGCUAGUUUUCGUGUUUUUGGUAGCUAUUUGAUUAUUGAAACAAGCCAAGAAUGAGGGAGAAUUUUGUGAAAUCCAUGGCAAUGCAAGUUGAAGCUCAAAUACAUGAAGAAUCCGAGCUUUGGAGCACUUCAUAGCUCUUUUCCAAACUUGGCAAUAGGUUGCCAAGCCAAUCAGAGAUGCAAAGAAGAAAACCAGAGGAAAAAAUCCAACCACCAGCAUUUUUCGCAUGGCUAUGCAAAAAUUUCGCAUAACAUGCGAAAUCAAGAAGAGGAGUAGCUGCAGGACUAAGAGCAGACUGAGUGAAAGACAAUUUCGCACACUGUGUGAAAUUUCGCACACCAUGCGAAACCACAGAAGCAGCCAAAGAUUUCGCACACCAUGCGAAAUUUCAUGUGCACCUACUCAAUAGAUUUUAUCACUUANNNNNNNNNNNNNNNNNNNNNNNNNNNNNNNNNNNNNNNNNNNNNNNNNNNNNNNNNNNNNNNNNNNNNNNNNNNNNNNNNNNNNNNNNNNNNNNNNNNNUCAAUAUUUAGUUUUAGUUUUUUUAGGAGUUUGGGUUAAUUAAUUUAGUCAAUCACAUGUUAUUAUUUUUAUAUUUGGAGUAUGACAUAUUUUGGUAUUGAUAUAUUAAUAUUUAGUUUGAGUUUUCAGGAAUUUUAGAUAAUCAAUCUAGUUAAUUGCAUGUUAUUGUUUCAUAUUUUUUAAGAUUGCUAAACUUUGGUUUUUGAUUUAUCAUAUUUUGUUAGAAUGUUAAUUUACUUUAAUUAAUCCCACAUUAUUAUCUCCAUAUGCUAAGUUUGUUGACUUUAAUCUUUGAUUGGUUUUUUAUUUUAGUUAAUGCGUUUCCUGAAAUCUAGAUGUUGGUCUUGGAUGAUAUUUUGUUAGUUUGUUUAAUUUGGAAGUCAUUAGUUUGAUGCCUUAGUGAUUGUUGGUCAAAUCCAUUUUUUUUUUUAAAAAAAAAAAGCCAUUGGAAAUCCAUGAAGGUUGGCCCUACUCUCACCAGUUUAAUUAGCAUGAUUGUCUAAAUCUUUAUUUUGUGAUUUUCGUUUUCUUUUGUUUUGGUUGAUAUUUUGUUUUCUAUGUUUUUUUAUUUUAAAAAUUAAUUUCUUUUAUUUCAAAACAAAACAAUUUUUCUCAAAAGAUCCCUUUAAAAAUUAAAUUCAUUUAGUGUCUUUAGAAUCAUUUUAAAAAAAUAAAAUAAAAUAAUAUGCAACCAUAUCUUGAUCGAUUCGCAUCCUUCUUAGUUUUCAAUAAAAAUUUUGGUUUUGAACAAAACACGAAACAAAGCUUGUGGUCCUAAAUAAAUGAGGUAAUUCUAGGCUAAAUUUGUGUAUAUCGAUUGGGGAAUUAGUGAAACCCCUACAUAAGAAAAUCUUUUUAAAACUUAUUUUUACUACCAUCUUUGCUACUUAUUGAAAUCAUGUUUAUCUAUUUUUUGAGAAUUGUAUACAAGAUGUGUGUGAUAAUUGGUGAUUUAGUAUACUUCGAUCUUUUUUUGUUAUGUUAAUUAGAUAACAAGCAUGUUAGGGUUUCUUCUUUUAUUAUUUAUUAUCUAACCCCUCAUGUCCUGAGGAAGCGUAUAAUGAGUUAUCUAUGCUAUUUAGGUAUGCUCUCUAUCACCCACUUUCUGAAUUCUGUAAAUAUGACUGUCAGUAUGAACUAUGCCUAUGUUUGAUAGUGCUUGGGUGUUUGGAUAUUUGUUACAUUGUUCGAUCAUUUAUGAUGAAACGCAUGCUUGGUGAUAUGAUAUUUAAACUAACCAGUGAUGUUAUAUAAUAGUGCUUAAGAAGUGGUCCAAGUACGCACCCUAAAUAUUCUAAAUGAUUGUGAUUGGUUUUCUUGUUCGGCAUGCCAUUCUUUUGAAAUCACCUAGCCUACUUAGGUAUCUAUAAUUAACCAAUUAAUUGCCACAUUUCCCUUAACUUAGCCAGUAGAGACCUUUAUAGGGGUUAGAGGGGUGCUACCUCCUAGAGGUACCUUCCCAAUAAGUAACGUGAUCCUUGGACCUAGACUCGGGUUUUUCAAAGACAUGUUUUUCCAAAACUAUGGAGUCACUUUUUUUAGGGUUUUCUUUCUUAUUUUAUUUUCCCUUUAAAAUAAGAAUAAAAUAAGUGGCGACUCCGACUAUUCCAAAAUAAAUAAAUUUUUUCAUAAAUAAAAAGCGAGUCUCGCCAAUCGAGUGGGGACGGGCAUGAAAAAUGCGGGUCCACAGGUGCGACACAACGUUGGUUCGCUUCAUUGGAUGUAUCACGCUGUAGGACUUGGGAUGAUCUGACCCAAAAUUUUUUGAGACAGUUUGCAUUUAACACUAUCAUUGAUGUUUCUAGGAGAGAGUUAGAGGCUUUGAGACAGAGGCUAGAGGAUUCAGUCACUUCAUUUAUCUCCCGUUGGAGGGAGAAGAUUUCAUAGAUUAUUGAUCAUCCUUCAGAGAAGGAUAGAUUAGUAUGAUUUUGAGGAGCUUACAACCUAGAUUUGUUAGACACUUGAUGGGAUUUCCCCAUAUAGAUUUCAGAUCUUUGGUACAGGCUUUGUAUGGUAUAGAGGAGGGCAUUGCUAAAGGAUUGUGGCCCGAGUCUUCCCCUACUGACUCUAAGGAGAAGAAGCCUUUAUCAAUUUUCUUGCAUAUUCGAUAAUGAAGGCCACUUUGAUUGUUGUUAAUUGGAUUUUUGAUGAUAUAUUAAUGACAAGUUGAUGAAUGGUUAAUUGAUCUCAUGUUAAUUGAUGUCUAUUAGAAUUGAGAUUAGAGUUAUUUUCUUUGAAAUUAUUUUUACUUGAUUGAGGCAUUUUGAUAACAUAUAAUAGUGGCUAAGAGAUCCUUUAUUUGAUUUUUAUUGCCUUUGGUUUUAUUUUUCGUUAUUCGUUUUAUUUUUUAUUUUUUUUUUGUGAUGUUUGGAUUGUUCACCUUGCUGUCAUUUUGUUAGAAUUAUUGAACCUCUAUAAUUAAAAAAUUGGAUCAGGUUGUUUCAUGUCUCUCUAAAAUUUUUCUUAUGAUUGCAUGAUGUUGUAGACUUCCUAGAUAUAUUGAUAGAAUUUUGUUUGAGUGUAAAAUCAUUUUUUAAUUAAGAGAUAUAAACCAAUAUUUCAAUAGGUCCGUUUUUUCACUCUAUUUUGAACACUAGAAAUUGUUUUGUAAAAUUAAAUUAUUUCAUGAUCUCUUUAAUUUGUUUUGAUAUUUUUCCAUUAAUAUAAAUUUUGAAAUUUAAUUUUAGGGCCUUGAUUUGUUGAAAAUUAAUUCUCCAAGUAUAACAAAAACAUUCUUUUUCCUACACCUACUGCACUAACCCAUUUUGUAGUCAAGGAAAGUUUGGCAUAAUUUAAAAAUUAACAUUUUAUGAUUAAGUCAUGUUGUUAUUUUUUAUGUAAGUUAGAUAUAUUGAAGGUAUUGUACAAUUUUUUUUCAUGAUUUUAUUAUGCAUAUAGAUAGGUUAAUUAAAUUAGUCUUUUCAUGCUAUAGGAUUGUUGCUCCGUUUUUUAUCAAUAUAUUUGUGAUUAAAUCAAGUAUUAAACGAGAAACGAUUGGAUGAUUUAGCCUUUUGGGUUGUAAUCUAGACAUAUAAGAGAUAUUGUCCAAGUUCUUUUAUGGUGAACUUCCAUAUCUAGAUUUUUUUUAGGAUAUAUUUUGAAAGUGUCUUUAAUCUAAAUGCAUGUCGAUUAUUCUGUAGAGUGUCCUUGGUGUGAAUUAAUCUGGUAUUGAUCGACACGUGAUUAAAUGUUUUGGGAUUUUGUAUUGUAAUCUAGACACAUUCAAGAUGUUAUCCAUUUUUUUUUUCAUUAUGCAAUAACACCUCUGGGUAUUUACUUAUGAUUUAUUUUGAGAAUGUCUAUUUUCUAACCCAAUGUUGAGUAUUUUUCAUGAUUUGUUAUUUUCACCACUUUUUGCACAUUUUUAAAUCUUUUGGACCAUUGUUAUAUAUUUUAGACAUAUUGUAUAUGAUAAGUGAAUUUUGUUUUGCACCAUAAACCCUUAUUGAACAUUUUAACUAAACUCAUUUUAAAAUUGUAUGCAUACUAAAAGUGUAUUGAAUUUACAUGACAAUUGUUACUUGGUUUUUUUUUUUUUUUUUUAUUCCUUUAUUAGAGUAGUGGAUGCAUUAUGUAUGAUGAUAGAUUUUUAUUAAGAUUUUUCAUGUCUAUUUUUUAUUGCUUGUGAACUAACCCUCGUUGAUUUUAUGAAAGCACUAUACAUGUUAUUAAGGUAUGUUCCUCUCCUUCCUUUGUUUGAUUUUUUUAAUACAUGGUUCAUUUGAGUGAUGCAAAUUAUGAUUUCACCAUUGUCUUGAUUGUAUAUUACUUAUUUAUUUGGUAUACGCUAAUUUACAAAUCAAUUGUCAUAGUUGUCUCAACUCAUUAGCAAAGACCUUUAUUUAGGCCUUAGAAGGGUGCUAUUGUAUAAUACAUUCCCAAUAGGUAACUUGACUCUUGAACAUAGACUCGGGUAUUCAAAGACACGUUUUUUCAAAUAAAGAGUCAAUCUUAGGGUUUUAUUUCUUUUUUUGUUUUUCAUUUUUUUAAAAAUAAAAUAAGUGAUGACUCCACUUUUUUAAAAUAUCAGUUUUUCACUAAAAAAACGAGUCAUCAUCGAGUGAGGAUGCACGUAAAAAAUGUAAGUCAGCAACAAGGCUAUUCCAAUGGAUCUUUCCUUUACCAGAAUAUUCAUUCAAGGAGCUAAUGGCUAGAUUAUUUUCACAUAAUCAUUCAGUUGUUGUUUCCCUUAUAAAAUAGGAGAAGAUUUAUUCUUUCCAUUUGUAUCAACGUGACUCAAUUGAUUAGCUAAACUUAAGCAGAAGUAGUUGGCUUGUCUUUCAUUUUCUACCCAUUUUUGUAUAUAUAUUCUGCACAAAGAUGUUAAUUUAAUAAGGGUAUGCUAUUGUUUUAUUCUCUUGCACAAACUAUUCUUCAAAGUACUUAACUGUAUUAUAGAUAACCUUUCAUUUACUUGACAUUACUCAAAGGCCUUGAUGUUACUCAACAUUAUCUAAGCUUUUCUCCUAUAGAUUAGCGUUCAAAAAAUUGGCCGAGUCGUAUUUGCCUCGACGUCAACUGCGAUGAGUCUGAUACCAUAUGCAGAUUUAUACCUAGACUCGUCCUUGAAUCGGUUGGACUUGGAUGACUCAGCUGAUAUUCUGAGUUAACUUGGCCGACUUGACAAAAAAAACCCAAUUAAGAGAUUUCCUCUCCUUUCCCAUGACAACAAGAAUUAAAUUUUUUAGAGAAAUAAGAGAUUCCUCUACAAAAGAAAACACUCGUGAAUCUAUGAUUCACGAACCCAAUUUUUCAACCACGACAUCAAAUGAGAAGAAGAAAAAAAACAAGUUUGAAACAAGCCCGUGACCCUUUCAAAAGCCUUUAAAAAGAGAAAUCUUUGAUUUGGUAAGUCGUCGGUGCUGCAACGAUGAUUAGCGUUAUAGGUCAUGGUGUUCAUGGUGUUACUCAACAUUAUCUAAGCUUUUCUCCUAUAGAUUAGCGUUCAAAAAAUUGGCUGAGUCGUAUUUGCCUCGACGUCAACUGCGAUGAGUCUGAUACCAUAUGCAGAUUUAUACCUAGACUCGUCCUUGAAUCGGUUGGACUUGGAUGACUCAGCUGAUAUUCUGAGUUAACUCGGCCGACUUGACAAAAAAAACCCAAUUAAGAGAUUUCCUCUCCUUUCCCAUGACAACAAGAAUUAAAUUUUUUAGAGAAAUAAGAGAUUCCUCUACAAAAGAAAACACUCGUGAAUCUAUGAUUCACGAACCCAAUUUUUCAACCACGACAUCAAAUGAGAAGAAGAAAAAAAACAAGUUUGAAACAAGCCCGUGACCCUUUCAAAAGCCUUUAAAAAGAGAAAUCUUUGAUUUGGUAAGCCGUCGGUGCUGCAACGAUGACUGGACCCCAGCAAGGCAACCCUUGUCUCUCCAAUUGUGAUUGUGUGGUACUAGUCAGUGUGUUGGACAAGGUCCGACAAUCUGCAAAACGUGGUGUAUUGGGUCCUUGGGGAAGACAAGCCAACAAAUAAAGGUAAAAUUUGAUUUACCUUAUUUAAAUCAACACACCCACAUUGCCAUAGUCACACCAUAUUGAGAUUAUAUUUUUAAUUUAUUGAAUCAAAUCAUAUAAAUUGGUAAAUUAUAUUUUACUAGUUAAUUUGAUUCAUAAUUUGAGAUUAAAAUAAAAAAAUUACAUAAUUUGAAUCAAUUAAAAAUAUAUUUAAAAUUUGGUUUACCUUAUUAUGUUGAGAUUAUAUUUUUAAUUUAUUAAAUUAUGUAAUUUUUUAUUUUAUAAUAUUAAAUUGAUUUACAUGUAUUUAAAUUGGUAAAAUUAGGAAAUUCAUGUAUACAGUGUAAAGUAAUAUUUAGAUGUAAUGUUAUGAAAUUGAAGAAUUGGAAAGUAAUGUUUAUAUGAAAUUGGAGAAUUCAUAAUGAUAAUAUUAUGAUGAUAUUAAAUAUAUUAAUAUGUAAUGUUUUUAUUUUAUAUAGAGAUUAUAUUUUUUUUUUAUUAAAUUAUGUGAUUUUUUUUAUCUUAUAAUAUUAAAUUGGUUCACUAAAUUAUUUUUGUAUGGUAUAGAAAUUAUAUUUCUUAAUAUAAAAUAAUUUAUAUGGUAAACUUUAUAUGGUAUAGUUAUUGUAUUUUUCAUUUAUGUUUUUAUCUUAUAAUAUUGCAAAAUUAAAUUAUAUUAGAAAAUUAAUAAUUAUUUAAAACAAUUUUUUUUUCAAAUAAUCAUAACUAUAAAAGUAAUGAUUUAAUAAUACGGAUUGAAGGGCAUGCAUUUACAUCGUAUAGAGAAAUUAAAUUUAUAUUUGAAUCAAUUUUACUUCAUUAUAUCAUGUAGAUUUUUUAUUUUAUAAUAUUCUACAAUUAAAUUACAAUAGGAAAUCAAUAAUUAUCAAAACAAUAAAUUGGUUCACUAAAUUAUUUUUCUAUGGUAUAGAAAUUAUAUUUCUAAAUAUAAAAUACAUUAAUAUGCUAAGCUUUAUAUGGUAUAGAUAUUGUAUUUUUAAUUUUUGUUUUUAUCUUAUAAUAUUACAAAAUUAAAUUACAUUAGAAAAUUAAUAAUUAUUUAAAACAAUUUUUUUUUCUUUCAAAUAAUCAUAACUAUAAAAGUAAUGAUUUAAUAAUAUGAAUUGAAGGGCAUGCAUUUACAUGGUAUAGAGAAAUUACAUUUAUAUUUGAAUCAAGUUUACUUCAUUAUAUCAUGUAGAUUUUUUUAUUUUAUAAUAUUCUACAAUUAAAUUACAAUAGGAAAUCAAUAAUUAUCAAAACAAUAAAUUGGUUCACUAAAUUAUUUUUGUAUGGUAUAGAAAUUAUAUUUCUUAAUAUAAAAUACAUUUAUAUGGUAAACUUUAUAUGGUAUAGAUAUUUUAUUUUUAAAUUAUAUUUUUAUCUUAUAAUAUUGAAAAAUUAAAUUACAUUAGAAAAUUAAUAAUUAUUUAAAGCAUUUUUUUUCAAAUAAUCAUAACUAUUAAAAUAAUGAUUUAAUAACACAAAUUGAAGGGUAUGCAUUUACAUAGUAUAGAGAAAUUAUAUUUAUAUUUGAAUUUACUUCAUUAUAUCAUGUAGAUUUUUUAUUUUAUAAUAUUCUACAAUUAAAUUACAAUAGGAAAUCAAUAAUUUUCAAAACAAAUAUUUUAAAAGAAUUUUUUUUUAUAAAAAUAUUCAUUUAUUUAACUAUUAUUUAUUUUAAUUAAAAAAACAUACAAAUAAGUGGAAAAUAAAAUAUGGUGAACUUAGGUGAGAUUGUGUUUAUUACUUUUUUAGUAGAAUUUAUUGUUAUAUGGUAACAAUAUGAAACAUAUAAAUGAGUGGAAAAUUGAAUAUUAAAAUUCUUAUAUAUAUGUGUUUAUAUAUAUUUAAUUUGAAAAGUAAGUUGUUUUCCUUUUAUACAUGGUUAGGUUAAAAUUUCAAAAUGACUUCAAAAACAUGAUAUUGGUUGGGAGCAUGCAGAACCUAUUGGUGGUAGUAGAACUACGAAGUGUAAAUAUUGUGGGAAAGUUAUACAUGGUGGUAUAACAAGAUUAAAACAACACAUCACACAUAUAUCCGGACAAGUGGAAGAAUGUCCACGUGUACCGGUAGAAGUGUCACAGUGCUAGACAAAUAUGUAUGAUACUUCAAAAGAAAAAACAAAGUUAGAGAAAAAAAAAAGAAUGAAUUUUGAGUUCCUUAAAUAAAGAAAAUUUCUAUGAAAUUGAUUAGAGUGAUUUUGAUGAUGAAAUUGAGGAAGUUGCUAUGGCUGAUUUUGAAAGAAGACAAAUGAAACAAGCGAUGAAAGAAAGUUGUCGAAUUUUUUAAGAAGGUAGACAAGAACAACAGAAGGGUGCUAGUUCCUCACAACCUUUUGGUGCUAGGAUUAAGCACGGACUGACACACAGCUUCAGUGUAAGAGAAUGAGCUAGCAUACCUCCAAAAGGAAUUUAUCCCUACAUGUUCCCAUCAAAGCAGAAAUCAAUAAAAAAACUUGUUUUCUACCGAAGACAUGAGGAAAGUGGGUAAAGCUAUUUCUAAAUUCUUUCUUUUUAAUGCAAUUGACAAUGGGCCUUACUAUCAAUCAAUGAUUGAUACCAUAGUAGAAGCAAGUCCAAGCAUCAAGGGUCCCACGGGAUACCAAAUUGGAAAUACUUAUUUGGAAGAGGAGGUGCAAGAGCUUGAGGUAUAUAUAACAACAUUGAAGGCUAAAUGGCCUAUAUAUGGGUGCACAAUCCUCUGUGAUGGUUGUAGUUCUAAGACUAGAAAGCCUAUCAUCAAUUUCAUGAUUUGUUAUGAUAGAAGUAUGAUAUACCAUUCUUCAGUUGACACUACCAACAUACCUAAGACAACAAACUGCAUCUUUUCCCUUAUGGAUAAAGUUGUAAAGGAGCUUGGGGAGGAAAAUGUUGUUCAAGUAGUCACUGAUAAUGAGGCAAGUUUUAAAGCAGUCGGUAUGUUGUUGAUGGAGAAGCAGAAACAUUUGUUUUGGUCUCCUUGUGCAGCCCACUAUAUUGAUUUAAUGCUUGAAGAUAUUGCAAGCAUGAAGCAGACUAAGGAGACAUUAGAUCAAGCAAAGAUGAUCAUAGAAUUUAUUUAUAAUAACUUGAAAGUAGUGAAUUUGAUGAAAGUGUUCACCAAGGAUACAAAUCUGUUAAGGCCAGGAAUAACCCAUUUUGCCACUAAAUUCAUUUCACUUGAGAGUCUUAUACGUUAUGAGGCUGAUUUGAAGAGAAUGUCCACAAUAAAUGAGUGACGUGAAUUCAAUAAAGAUAGGAGCAGAAAAAGUCUAAGAGAUAAGGUAUCCAACCUAAUCUUAACUGAUCGAUUUUGAAAUAAGGCAAAGGAAGUUCAAACCAUCAUGGAACCUCUCGUCAAAGUAUUGAAAUUGGUUGAUCAAGAUAAAAAGCCCACACUAUCAAUCAUUUAUGAAGCAAUGGAUAAAGCUAAAUUGGCUAUCAAGGCAUUGGUCAAGCAAUGGGAAAAUUUUUGGGAAGUUAUUGAUAGAAGGUGAGAAGGUCAAUUGCACAGACAUUUGCAUGUUGCAGGUAAUAAAAAAAUUCUUUAUAUAUUUUUUAUUAUUUUUUUCAAGUACAAAUUAUUAUAAAUUGAUCAUUAUUUAACUUAUGGUAGCAUAUUUUUUAAAUCCAAUGUUCCAAUAUUCAAAGUAUUUCUCCAACCAUCUAGAAAUUAAAAUUGGAUUAAAGGAGGUUAUUAAGAGAUUAGAGCCAAAUUUGGAUAGACAAGCAAAAGCUAUUAACGAAGUAUAAUAAUAGUUUGUGACCUUUAUAUAAUACAUUUUGUAUAUGUAAUGUGCAUUAAUAAAAAAAAUAUGUUAAUGAUGUAGGUGAAAUUAUUUGUUGACGACCAAGGAGAAUUUGGAAGUGCACUUACAAGGAAAGCAAUAAAUCAAUCUCUUCCAGGUACUUAAUACAUUUAUGUCUAUUACAAAUAAGAAAUUAUCAUCAUUUUUUGUUAAAUAUAUCAUAGAUCAAAUUAUCACCGUAUUGAUGAGCACUUAUAGAAUUUGGGUAUAGGAUCAAGGUCAUAUUUUAGAGGAGCAGAUGAUAGAUCAUAUCACAACUUUAGAGACCGUGAUAGCUCUUCCAGUACUUUUAGUAGAAAUGAUUUUGAUUAAUUUUCAAUGAUGCAUCCAGAGGGAUAUUCAAAUACUGGAACAUGAGCUGGUGAUUCCUAUGGAUAUGAUCAAUCUUCUAGUAGCAGUAGAUUGCUUAUCGAGGUUUUAGAUACUAUCAAUAUGGUGUUGAUCCCGAACAACCUUCGAAACCAUAUUUUCUUGAUUAUGGAUCAUCAAGCCAAUAAUCUAAGCCAACAUAUUUAAGUUAUGAACAACUCUUUCAACCAUAUCCUCACUAUGGGAAUUACCAUCCUAAUUUGUAUACUUGUUGAAGGACUGAUGAUGACGAUUUUGAACCCCCUCAUCAUUCAACAUGGAAUUGAUUAUUGUAUUUUAUGUUUGUUAGUAAAAAUGUUAUUAUAUUUGAAAUAAAAUAAUUUUCUUUUAUUAGCAUUAUCAUAAAUAACUUUGAGCGGAUACUUUUAUAACUAUUUAAAUAAUGUUAAAUGUGAGACAAUUUUAUUUUCUUAAUUUUUUGAGCUUAUUUAAUUGUAUAUAUUUUUCUGAUGAUUUACAUAAUAUUUUAUAAUUUUUUCAAUUUUCGAAUUAGCUUAUCUUAUGUAUUGUCUGAUACCAAGGCGAUACACCGAGACUCACACGCCUCGGGACCCUCCGAGUCAGUGACCGAUACCUCAACUUUGAACCAUGCUACAGGUGCUUUGACGGCAUGGUAAUGCAACCAACCUUAAGGUAGUGGCACCCACUUACAUACUGUGCAAGAGCCCACAAUGGAAAAAUAUUCCUAUAAGCCGCAUAGUGUAACAUGCAGUUCUUCAUGAAGGCUCCAGUGAUUUCCUGCCAUAGAUAAUUGAUGAUUAAAUGGUUAGACUACCACCCAGUAUAUAUAAUCAACUAUGUUGCUCUUUUGUUCCGUCCACUUCAACUCCUUUUUUUUUUACACUCAUUGGACUGCACUCCCCUUUCAGGUUCAUGAAUGGUAGUUGCGGGUUACUCCUCAUGAGGAAGUGAUCCACCAAAACGAUGACCAACAACAUGUUUUCUUUCUGAUUUCUCAUCAACACAUUCUCCAUUCUGUUCAGAGACAAAUGAACUCAUGUUUGUUCCUUGUUUCCCAUACACUUUUAUCAUUAUAGACUGGAAAACUACAUUCCUUCUCAUUGGCAUUUCUUCAAACAUCUUCCAUGCUCCUCGACCUCCCCUUAGUGUACAUACUCUGAAAUGACAAAUUCUGAGAAACCUCAUCUCUAAUCCCCACAUCAACCCACAAAUUUACAUUACUGUAACCAAGCUUAGUAAGUGCAUAAGCAGCCGACAAGCCACUUGGACAAUCUUCUUUGGAUCCCAUAUUAUGAUAACAGUUUCUACAGCAAUGGCCAGACCAAAAGCAUCAGCAGAAAACGUGGCAGCUAUCAAUGCCCAAACCUUGGAGUCACCCCCAUAUGAAGAGUUGACGACCAUAUGACGGGUAGGAGCAAAAGCAAAAACAAGUGUAGUGGAGAAUAGAGAAAACAAGGAGAUAACAAAUAUGCAGGAUAGAAAUCAGAUAAAACCACAUUUCAUGAUCUUUCAAUGGGCUCAGGCUAGUGGGGAAGAUCACAAACAGAUUUGGGGCAAACAAGCAAGCAACCAAUAUCAACAAAACAAUUUGUGGCAUUUUUUGUCCACACCAAUCAACAGUAUAUUAAAUAUUCAAAAACGAACAUACAGAGAAAUCGAAUAAGGGUAAGAAUUCCAAGAGUAACAAGAAACAUACUUGGACAAACUCGGCUGCAAUUGCUCAUUUCUUGCUCCUUUGUGCUUUUCCCCCAAAAUCUCCCCAAAAAGAAAAAAAAACUUCGUGAAUCCUCUUUUUUCUUCUUCCCCUCUUUUUUUUUUCUCACUCGUUUGUUCCCUCACCUUUUUUUCCAAAAUCCUUAUUUUUUUGUAUUUGUAUCAACCUCUCAAAAACUCAAUCUGCUGAAGGAAUUCCACUUUCAUUUCUUUUAUUUCCCUUCAUUUUUGAAAAUUAGAAUGUUUCUCCUUUCUAUGUGGGAUCUCCUCUUUCCAUAUGUAUGCAACCAUAUUAAUCCUCUUUUCCCUCCAAAAAUAUUUUUCUUACCUUCUUUAAGUGCACGUGCUUAGUGAGAGUUGAUUAGCAACCCCCAAUUCUCUUGUCAAACAAUAAAAAAAGAAAAUAAAAAGAAUAAAACCAAAAAAAAGCUAGCAAUCUUGCAACAUAUAAAGGAAUAAAGUAAAAUAAAAUAAAUAAAUAAAGUAAAACAAAAUAACAAAAUAAAAUAAAAUAAAAUAGAAUGGUCAAUCCUAUGCGGGAUAUGCAAGUCAUGCGGCUAUGUGAAUCAUGCAAGUCAUAUAAAAAGUGAGUCUAAAAGUGCCUAAGGUGGUGCCUAAUGGGUCGGGGUAUGCCUAUACGGGCCUAGGGUGAGACUGGGCGGGCUUAACUAAGUCUAACCUAAAGUGCACCUAAGUGAAGUCUAAUCUAAACUUGAUGGGCAGCUAAGGUCAUAAUGUCGAGCUAGAUAAACCCUUCAACCAAAGUCCCCAAAGUGGCUAAAAAAAAAGGUAAGCAGUAUGAGUAGCAAUGGGCCACCAAGGAACUAUUGUGGAGCACUGGAAUUGAACUUAAGGACAUGUGCUAAAAGGACAAAAUGGAGGGUCUAAAAAUGUACCUAGGGUUCCAAAGUUUGUUCGAAGUAGGGAACGAUCUCCAAUCACUUCUCAAAGAUCCCUAAAGGAAUAAACAAACCAUGGGUAAUAAGAUAGAGGUUUUGUUAGCUCAAGGAUUGGAUGUACCAAAUUUUUUUAAUGAUGUGCCAAAUUUUGUAAAGAAUGUACCAAAGGGGCCAAAGUUUGUUUCGAAGAAGGGAACGACCUCUAAUCAUUUUCUAAGGUUGUUCAAUGAAAUAAAUGAACCAUGGGAAGGAAGUUAGGUGUCCCGUUAGCUCAAGAAUUGGAUGUAUCAAAUUUUCUUAAGAAUGUACCUAGGGUUCCAAAGUCUGUUUCAAAGUAGGGAACAACCUCCAAUCACUUUCCAAAGAUCCUUAAAGGAAUUAACGGACCAUGGGUAAUAAGAUAGGGGUCCCGGUAGCUCAAGGAUUAGAUGUACCAAAUUUUUGGUACAGAGAUUCAACCGGUACCAUUUUAUAAUGCAAAUUGAAAUUUAUGUGAAUGAAACAAAAUAUACUAGCUAGUUUCCUGUAAUGAGCUAAAUAAAAAAAGUAGUUAAAAAUAAAAAGAUAAUAUAAAAUAAAAUGAUAAUAUAGAUUUAAAAUAAAAAAAAUUAAAUAACAAUUAAAAAUUUUAAAAAUAAUAAAUAUUUUUUAAAAAAAAAAUCUUUCAAAAAAUAUAUGAUUUUAAAUCAACAAGGAAUUAUUUCCACUACUUAUUUCAUAUGAACGUCAAGGGCCAACCUUUCAAGCUAUCAGCAUGCCUCCAUUUGCCUUAUUGCCCAACCCAUACCUUAAAGCAAGUCAUCCUAAAUUCAUGCCUCUGACAGAGAGUUAUGUCUAUUUUUUUCCUACUGCACAUAGCUUAACAAAAAUAAAUUUUUCACCCACAUUCAUGCGUCUUCCAUGAAGGUUGUGCUCUUAGGUUGACUAGUGCACAAAGCCUACAAAUAUAAUGGUUUCAGUAAUAGGCAUGCUUCUAAAAUCAAGGGUGUGCCCCUGGUUUGCAUACUGCAUAUGGUACAUGCUUCAUUAAAUUUGAUACAUCUGAUCCUAUUGUUUCCAGGUCCCUCAUCUGAACAUGGAUGGUCCAUGAUUUCAUUUUGGAACCUAUAAGGAAGUGAUUGGGGGCCAAUCCCCACCUCGGAAUGCACUUUGGAACCUUUGGUACAUCCUUCACAAAAUUUGGUACAUCCUUCAUUAAAUUUAGUACAUCCGAUCCUAUUACUUCCGGGACCCCCAUCUGAACAUGGAUGGUCCAUGAUUUCAUUUUAGAACCCAUAAGGAAGUGGUUGGGGGCCCAUCCCUACCUCGGAAUGCAGUUUGGAACCCUUAGUACAUCUUUCACAAAAUUUGGUACAUCAUUCAUUAAAUUUGGUACAUCCGAUCCUAUUGCUUUCGGGUCCCCCAUCUGAACAUGGAUGGUCCAUGAUUUCAUUUUGGAACCCAUAAGGAAGUGAUUGGGGGUCGAUUCCCACCUCGAAACGCAGUUUGGAACCCUUGGUACAUCCUUCACAGAUUUUGGUACAUUUUUCACAAAAUUUGGUACAUUCUUCAUUAAAUUUGGUACAUUCCAAUCCUAUUGCUUCUGGGUCUCCCAUCUGAACAUGGAUAGUCCAUGAUUUCAUUUUGGAACCCAUAAAAAAGUAAUUGGGGGCCGAUCUCCACCUUAGAACGCAAUUUGGAACCCUUGGUACAUCAUUCACAAAAUUUGGUACAUCCUUCAUUAAAUUUGGUACAUCCGAUCCUAUUGCUUUCGGGUCCCCCAUCUGAACAUGGAUGGUCCAUGAUUUCAUUUUGAAACCCAUAAGGAAGUGAUUGGGGGUCGAUCCCCACCUCGGAACGCAGUUUGGAACCCUUGGUACAUCCUUCACAAAAUUUGGUACAUCCUUAAUUAAAUUUGGUACAUCCGAUCCUUUUGCUUCCAGGUCUUCCAUCUGAACAUGGAUAGUCCAUGAUUUCAUUUUAGAACCCAUAAGUGAUUGGAGAUCGAUCCCCACCUCCAUAUGCACUUUGAAACCCUUGGUACAUUCUUCAUUAAAUGCGGUACAUCUGAUCUUAUUGUUUUCGGAACCCCCAUCUGAAUAUGGAUGGUCCAUGAUUUCAUUUUGGAAUUCAUAAGGAAUUGAUUGGGAGUCAAUCCCCACCUCAGAACACACUUUGGAACGCUUGGUACAUCCUUCACAAAAUUUGGUACAUCCUUUAUUAAUUUGGUACAUUCGAUCCUAUUGUUUCCGGGUCCUCCAUCUGAACAUAGAUGGUCCAUGAUUUCAUUUUGGAACCCAUAAGGAAGUGAUUGGGGGUCGAUCCCCACCUCAGAACGCACUUUGGAACCCUUGGUACAUCCUUCACAAAAUUUGGUACAUCUAAUCGUAUUGCUUUUAGGACCCCCAUCUGAACAUGGAUGGUCCAUGAUUUCAUUUUGGAACCCUUGGUACAUCCUUAACAAAAUUUGAUACAUCCUUCAUUAAAUUUGGUACAUCCAAUCCUAUUGCUUCUAGGUUCCCCAUCUGAACAUGGAUGGUCCAUGAUAUCAUUUUGGAACCUAUAAGAAAGUGAUUGGGGGUCGAUUCCCACCUCAGAACGCAGUUUGGAACCCUUGGUACAUCUUUCACAAAAUUUGGUACAUCCGAUUCUAUUGUUUUCGGGACCCCCAUCUGAACAUGGAUGGUCCAUAAUUUCAUUUUGGAACUCAUAAGGAAGUGGUUGAGGGAUGAUCCCCACCUCAGAAUGCACUUUGGAAUGCGUGGUACGUUCUUCACAAAAUUUGGUACAUCCGAUCCUAUUGUUUCUAGGUCCCCCAUCUGAACAUGGAUGGUACAUGAUUUCAUUUUGGAACCCAUAAGGAAGUGAUUGGGAUCCGAUCCCCACCUCGGAAUGCACUUUGGAACCCUUGGUACAUUCUUCACAAAAUUUGGUACAUCCUUCAUAAUGUACCAAAUUUUGUGAAUGAUCUACCAAAUUUUGUGAAUGAUGUACCAAAUUUUGUAAAUGAUGUACCAAAUUUCGUAAAGGAUGUACCAAUGUUGCCAAAGUCUGUUAUGAGGUGUGGAACGACCUUCAAUAACUUCUCGAGGGUCUUCAAAUGAAGAAAUGGACUAUGGAAAUGGAGAUAAGUGUCUCGUUAGCUCAAGAAUUGGAUGUAUCAAAUUUUCUCAAUGGUGCACCUGGGGUUCCAAAGUCCAUUUCGGAGUAGGGAAUGAUCUCCAAUCACUUCCCAAAGAUCCCUAAAGGAAUAAACAGACCAUGGGUAAUAAGAUAGAGGUUUCAAUAGCUCAAGUAUGUACCAAAUAUUUUUAAGAAUGUACCAAAUUUUGUAAAAGAUGUACCGAGAGUGCCAAAGUUCGUUCUGAUGUGGGGAAUGACCUUCAAUCACUACCUAAGGGUCCUCAAAGGAUAAUAUGGACCAUGGGAAAAUAGAUAGGGGUCUCGAUAGCCCGAGGAUUGGAUGUACCAAAUUUCUUAACGAUGUACCAAAUUUCCUUAAGGAUGUACCUAGGGUUCCAUAGUUCGUUUCGAAGUAGGGAACGACCUCUAAUUACUUCCUAAAAAUCCCUAAAGAAAUAAACGAACUAUGAGUAAUAAUAUAGAGGUCCUAGUAGCUCAUGGAUUAUAUGUACAAAUUGUUUUAAGGAUGUGCCAAAUUUUAUGAAAUAUGUACCAAAUUUUGUAAAUGAUGUACCAAAUUGUCUUUAGGAUGUACCUUGGGUCCCAAUGUUUGUUUUAGGGUGGGGAAUAACCUCUAAUUCCUUCUCAAGGGUCCCCAAAUGAAUAUAUGAAUCAUGAAAAUGAAAAUAUGGGUCUUAGUUCCUCUAAGAAUGGAUAUACCUAGGAUCCCAAAGUUCUUUUUGGGGUGGGCAAAGACCUCCAAUUACUUAUCGAGGGUCCCAAAAAGAAUAUAUAUACCAUGAUAAGUAUGAUAGUAUUUCUAGUUCUCCUAAGCAUUAAUUUACUUUUUUUUUUUUAAGGAUGUACCUAUUUUUUAUGAAAUUAAUAUAAAAGGUUAAAUACAUUUUUUUAUGAAAAAUAUAUUUUCUUUUAUAUUUUAUUUUAAUUAAAAAUUAAAGAUUUUAACCAAAAAAAAGUUAGAUCCACAAUCAAUUUAAAAUCAUAAGAAAAAUGAUAAAAGCACCAUUACUUAUUGUGAUUUUGAUAUGAUAAAUUUAAAAUGAAAAUAAAAAGAAAAAUAAUGUAAAUAAUAAAAUAAUAUUGCAAUGAUAUUUUUACUAUUACAUGUGAUAGAAUUUACAAAAUAAAUGAAUCUGUUGUUUAGUAUUAAAAUAAAAAAUCUUAUAUCAUAAACUUCUAAAUAAUAACAUGGAAUUUUUAAAUUUAAACCUUAAUUUAUAAAAUGUAUUAUUAUAACUAAUACUUAAAAUCAUUAUUAUUUGUGGGAUAAUAUUUUCAUUUUUGUCCAUUAUAUAUUUUGUUUUUAUUUAAUUUAUUAUAUUAAUUAUUUAUUAUAUAAUAUCAUUUUAAGUUUAAUAUGUCAAAAAAUAAUAAUUAAAAUCAAUAAAUAUAGGCAAAUUAGAGAGUAAAAAUAAAUUAAAAUUAAAGAAGUUUUAUGAGAAAAUGCAUGAGCAUAUUAAAAAGAAUAUAAAGGAAAAAAAGAAAAAUAAUAAUAAAAACUAUAAUAGGUGACAAUGGAUUAUGGUGGCUGGAGAGGAAAAAAAAAAAGAAAAAAAAGAAAAAAGUGGAAAUGUGGCAAGUGGUCAGGGAGAUAUAUUGAUGUGAGAAAAAUAAUAAAAAUAAAUUACACAUGUACUUGUUAACAUGUGGUAUUAAAUUGGUGUGUACUUUAUUAUUUACUUUUGAAGGUAAUUGUGGAACAAAUUUGAAAGCUCUAUUGGAGUGCAUGAAUAAACAAUAUUUUUUUCCCAUUUUACACCAAAAUUAAAAAGAAAAAAGUAAAGUUCCAAAAUCUCUUUUUUUUUUUUAGUUGGUGUAAGGUUAGAUGACUUUUCCUUUUUUUUAAUGCAUGGUUCAUUUGAGUGAUGCAAAUUAUGAUUUCACCAUUGUCUUGAUUGUGCAUUACUUAUUUCUUUGAUAUCCACUAAUUUACAAAUCAAUUGUCAUAGUUGUCUCAACUCAUUAGUAGAUACCUUUAUUUAGGCCUUAAAGGGGUGUUAUCGUAUGAUACAUUCCUAAUAGGUAACCUGGCUCUUGGACUUAAACUUGGGUUUUCAAAAACACGUUUUUUAGCCACUCUUAGGGUUUUAUUUCUUAUUUUGUUUUCCAUUUUUUUUAAAAAUAAAAUAAGUGGUGACUCCACCUUUUAAAAAAAAAUUAGUUUUUCACUAAAAAACGAGUCAUCAUUGAGUGAGGACGCACAUGAAAAAUAUAGGUCCACAACAAUGCUAUUCCAAAGGAUCUUUCCUCUACCAGAAUAUUCAUUCAAGGAGCCAAUGAUUGUAGGAAGAGUGUAAAUGUGAAAAGUGCUUUUUUUUUGCUUGUCCCACAUAGGAAAAAGAGGAACAUCUUUAGUGGGUUUAUUAACUAGCCCACUUUCCUUAGUCUAAUGGGCUUGUGAAGAGGUGUGGGAGAGCCUCGCGUGCCCAUGGGGCCCAAGCCCAUUUGAGUGGGGCUUCGGGCUGGUUGGGUUAGAAUUUCUUAAUGCACGUCGCGUUCGCACACGCAUCCUACGCGCGCGCGAUCUCGGCUAAUUUUUUUAAAAAUUCAAAAUAAUUAUUUUAUUUUAUUCUAAUAGUCUUAUAUUUUUGGGAAGAGUCCUAUUGUGAUUGUGCUAGUGAAGUCCCAUUCCACUUAUAAGUAGAAUCCCGUUCCACUUUGAGUCAUGUUUUGAUUACAAGUAGAGUCCCAUUGGGACUGUGUUAGUGGCCUAUGAAAGUAGGUCACCUUUCACUCUCUUAAUACCAAUUUUUUAGAGAGUUUUCAGAGAGCCUUUCAUACAUCUAUGUAGAGGAAUUUUUUUAGAACCUGAGUUGUACACGUCUCGCUUACAGAGUGCACCCAAGGCAAGAUUGGGUUGUUGAAUCCUGGAGGUAGACCACUGGUACCCAAGUGCACCAAGUUUGUCUUCGAGGAGAGUGGAUCUAUUUCAAGGACAGUGCAUGUUUGUCACCCUUCAGCCGAUAAGUUUUUCUUACUAUUCAUUAUGUUCUUUGUUUGCGUCUUUUGGGCUAGUCCUUUGUUUUGAUACCCUUAAACCAACAAUGGCUAGAUUAUUUUCGCAUAAUCAUUCAACUGUUGUUUAACAUAUAAAAUAGGAGAAGAUUUAUUCUUUCCAUUUGUAUCAGCACGAUUCAAUUGAUUAGCUAAACUUAAGCAGAAGUAGUUGACUUGUCUUUCAUUUUCUACCCAUUUUUGUAUAUAUAUUCUGCACAAUGAUGUUCAUUUAAUAAGGGUCUGCUAUUGUUUUAUUCUCUUGCACAAACUAUUCUUCAAAGUUCUUAAUUGUGGCAUAGAUAAACCUUUCAUUUACUUGACAUUACUCAAAGGCCUCGACGUUACUCAACAUUGAGCUUUUCUCCUACAGAUGCUUCAACGGCAUGGCAAUGCAACCAGCCUUAAGGCAAUGGCACCCACUUACAUACUGUGCAAGAGCCCACAAUGGAAAAGUAUUCCUAUAAGUUGCAUAGUGUAACAUGCAAUUCUUCAUGAAGGCUCCAGUGAUUUCCUGCCAUAGAUAAUUGAUGAUUAAAUGGUUAGACUACCACCCAGUAUAUAUAGUCAGCUACAAAAGAACAUCAUUUUCCAUUUCCCAAAACCAAGUGAGCUACCUGUUGGGGAAAAUCACCAUCUUCCAUUUGGGAAUUAAUCAACAGCUUUGCAGCCUUGUGAAGAGGUGUUGGGUCUCUCUCUGCCUGUUAGAAAGGAAAGGUUAGACUCAAAUAUUUGGGAAGAAGCCAUAUUGUGAAAGUAAUGUAGAAGACCAAGGUAAGCAUAUUGAUGAUGGAACUGUAAAAACUAACCUGCCCAGAAGAAAGCAGACCCAUGAGAGCCCACCCGGUUUGUACCAAAUUUGACCUGUUUCCUUUAAGAGGUGUAUAUUUCUGUAUCACCAAGCACAAGGAUUACUUGUUUUUGUCCAUGUUUAUACCAGAAAACAGAGCAGUGGGUGGCAUGUAAAAAUUACCUUAUCCGGGCAAGAAGUACAGUUCUCUCCCCAACCACCAUCAUCUCUUUGUGAUUUGAGUAGAAACUCAACAGCUCUACCAAUAGCAAGACAAUUGUGGUAAGUCUUGCCAGCAGCUGCUAGGCCCCCAAGUGCAAACCAUGAGCCAUAGGUAAAACAUACUCCCCAAUUGCCAUACCUGGUGAAAUGUUUCUUUGUUUAAAUGGAUCUGCACUGCAUAUAUAAUAAAAGAUUUCCUUAGUGAAAUAAUAAUAGUGCAGUUGAGAAACAUACCAUGAGCCAUCAGGCAUUUGCAUGUCUUCAAUGUACUUAGCAGCAUUUGUGAUGAAAUUGUCUAUCUCGUUCUUCCUGUGUCCUGGGUAUAACUUCUUAAACAAAACUAGAGCCUGAAUGGCUGAUGCAGUGCACUCAACAUACCUGCAUCACUGUUCUGUUAGUCUCCAAGGACGUUAAAGCUAUCAAAGUUAGAAAAGAAAGUUGGUCUGUUAUCAAGAAUCUUACUCAUGCUCGAUGACAAUGUCUGUAAAAAAUUCAGUGGGGUUAAGUAGCUGAAAAGAGAAGAGAUUGGCAUUGAUUUAGAUUCAAAGAACACAGAGAGUGAGAAAGAAAGAGAGAUAAUGCAAAAAUAUUGAAGUUACUUAAACAUGUUGAAGUAAUUUACCUCCAACCAUUUUGAAGCUCCUGCAGGCUCCCAGGCAGCUAAACCACCAUUUUUACUCUACGGUGGUUUAAAAAAUGGGGGUUAUUGCUACUAAGAAGUUAUGACCUAUUUUGUGAAGGGGAUAACCAUAGAAAUGGCAUAAGGAAGAUGAGUCUCACCUGCAGCGAAAGCAGGAUGUUGACAGAAUCAAAUAGUCGUUCAGGUUCCAUCUUCAUACCAACAAUUUUUGGUGCCAUCAUUGAAAAGAGAAGACAACACUAUGACAGAGAGGGGACUUCAGUAAGAAACCAAGUAACUUCAGUUAAUCUGCAAGCCCUGACUUAAUUGAAGUGUUUGAGCAAAAAGAGUUACCUUCAAACCUUCUGCAGUGCAAUCAGAAACUUGCCAACCAUGAUCCUGAUCUGAGAAUGUCCACGAUCCCUUGGAAAUGUGGCGGUACAUGCUUUUAAAGUCACCAGAAGGAUUGUCCUUGACCUUCAAGAUUUCAGGUAGUAUGAAGUAAAUAGACCAUGAGAAACCCAAGUAGAUUCUGGUUGAAGUAAAGAAAUAAACUAUGGAAUUCAAGAUCAAACCUGAGAUUCCUUUAUGAAUUCAUGUCCUUUCUUGAGUGCAAGUCCAAGUUCAUCAGUCAUAUUGCAAGCUAGCAGUGCUUGAAGGGCAAAACUAGUGUCCCACUCUUGACUACCAAAGCUCUACAAUAAUCGACAAUUUCAAAACCAAUUAGGCAGGAAAGGGAUAAAAGCAGCUUCAAACCAUUUGCAUACUUGAAAAAUUUUAAGAAAAAGAUCAACACAUAUUAUCUAAUUUUCCUACAACUGUUUAGGAGAUUAGUGAUUGAACUUGUCUUCUGACCUGCAUCUUUAUUCCAUCUUCUGCAACCCAUAUAUAAUCUGGGAUCCUAGCAAGGUGCUUCUUGAAAUAAUCCCCAUUUGGAUCUUCAACCCAACAUGCGAGCAUACACAAUACCUGUUCAAUUUAAGCGAUAUCAGUACCCCAAAGAAGUGACAUAUUGUCUGAAUAGUCAUUAUCCAUUACUGAAAAAAUACCUUCUCCACACAUCCAAUGGUAAUGUAUCGACUGUUUUCAUCUUCAUAAUGGAUGUGUUUCAUUGUUACUUCAAGAGCCUUCUUUCUCAACUUUUUGAAGGGCCAACGAGUAAGAAGAGGCUCGGUACAUAUGUACAAACUAUCCCACAUUAGAUCUUGUAUUAGGGGAUGGGGGUAGUAGAGAUCCUCCUGCAAUAUUAAACAAUUUUAAAUGUGUGUUUCAUGCAUGCGUAGCAUAUUCAUAGGAAAAAGAAAUUGUUUCCAUAAAAAAUCAAAACUUACCUUUGCACAAAGAUGUCGUACUUUCUUCCAGUUGAUUUCAUUAUAAGGUUGAAGGAAAAGCUCUUCUCUUAGUUCUAAAACAAGAGGCGUGAUUGGGCCAAUGAAUCGUUUACCAUAUAAGUACGACAUGGGCAUGUAAACCAUCCGACUGUAGCAAAACAUUCUUGCUGCAUUUAAGGACUCAAAUGAAAAGAAGGUAGACCAAGACAAAGCAAUACCAAAGAGAGGAAAAUAAAAUCUUUUUAGUAUAAGAUGUUUUGGUAGACAUCGCAAUGGAAGCCCUUAAGACCAAUAAACCGGUCCCAGGUUGGAUUUGUAUGUAUUCAUGUGCCAUCUUAUCAAUGUAUAAAGCUCAAGUUGCUCAACUUUUCGCUUAUCCUUUUUGUCCCGACUCUGUUCUGAGUCAAUGUGACAAAUUCCAAAUUCCAUGCAAGAAGAUCUUAAUAUGUAAAAUACAUUAAGUGCAAAGUAGAUGUUAAAUUCAAGAACUUGAGUUGGUGGACAUAGCAUAAACCUGGAUGCAUAGGAAGAAAAGAAGGGAGGAGCCAAAACUCUGGGGGCAUUGGGUUGCUUCCUGACCAGUCAAAUAAGCCAAAUAGCUGCAUGGAAGAAACAAUUUCAUAUAAGAUUCAGUCCAACACACAAGAAUAAAUGGCAUAGGAUGAAUAUGAAUUUGUGUUUAAAAUGGCCAUACUGAAAGCCAAGUCUUUCCCCAAGACGGAAUGGAUGUCACUCCACCUCGGUCAUGGAUCCAUUUACGCCCUCUUGCACAAGCAUUGUCUCUUCCACCAUCUCGCCCUUCUCCAAGGAUACGCAUACAAAUGUAGCUGAGGGUUGUACAAAACAUGGUGCUUUGUCCCUCAAUAUGAAAUCCCCACCCACCAUCUUCAUUCUGCAAUGUUCAUAAGCCAUUUUCAUACUUUAAAGCUCCAAGCCCAUUUAUGAGGUUAGAAUGAUGACUAGGUUCAAAAUAUAUGUACCUGAUGGCAGUAUAGGUAGCGAAGAAUUUCUUUAAGAAAUUCUCCGGGGAAUACAAUGUCAAGAUGCCCUGUAAUGUAUAGACACAUGACCUGCAUUUUCCAUGAAAUUAUGCCAUUGAGAAUGGCUGUUAAAAUGGUCUAUAUUCAUGAUUUUGAUGAGGGUGAGAAGAUGUUGAGUCGACUCACCAGAGGAGGAAGAAAAUACAAUGGGCCAGAAUUUUCUGCAGGCCAAUGGCCAUCACUUGCCUGCAAGGCUGAAAAGAAAUGUGCACUCCUUCUCAGUGCUAUUGUGGCUGUCUCAUAUGUAAUUGCUUCACCAUCCCCAACCUUCACUUGUGGUAUUGUUUGUUUGAAAUUCUUCUCUCUCAAAAACUGCAGGUUUUUUUUUUUUUUGGCCAAAUGAAAUGGGAGUUAGUGAAGAACAAGUUUAAAAGAAAAGAAAAGGUAAAUUAACCUCAAUAGUAAACAUCUAUUUGUACAAUUAUUCCAAGCUAGGUGGGACUAUUAGAGUGAAGAUAGGUGUAACAAUCGUUAAUGUGCAUAAUAUUUAUUAUGAGUCCAAAUCCUUUAAACUUAAGUUUUUAAGAAAUUGAUUGUUCAACAUGAUAUCAAAACUCGAUUUUACAAUAGGUCUUACUCUCAUUAUUGAACUAUCUGGUUGAUGGUCUCUCAACCUAGGGCAAGACCCAAAAUCACCUACUUGUAGUCAUGGUUUGAAACGUGGCAAGCUUACCAGGAAUCGAACCCAAGCCGAAAUGUUUGGAUUGAAAUUUGGCUACCACUGGGCCAAGCUCACUUUUGUUAAUAUAUAUUUAAUUUAAAUAUGUUAAAGUUUAUUAUUAAAAAAAUCUAAUUAUUUUAUUUUAAAUUUUAUUUAAUUUAUUAUAAAAGUAUAAAAACCAACAUUAUAAUUUUCUUAACAAGACUUUUUUAUAUCAUUGAUAUGAUAAUUAAAUAUAAAAAAUAUAUAUAUUAAACAAAUCAUAUAUGCGUCAUCAUUUAUUUUACAUUAUUAAAUGCAUUUGAAUUAAAUAAAUUAUAAUUUUAAUAUUAAAUAUAUUAUCAUGUAUCUCAUUAAUCAUAUUUUAAAAAAUUAAUUACUAUCACUUUACUUUUAAAUUUUUUAUAUUUAUCAUUUUAAUUUUGAAUCUUUUUAUUUUAAAAUAUUAAAAAUAUAAAUUUAUUAAAAAAAAUACAAAAAUAUAAAAAAAUAAUGAAGUUCUAAUAUUUUAUUAAUUUAAAUUAAUUUGAUAAGUUAAAUAAUAAAUUAUAUAUUAAGACUCAUAUAUCCUCAUUCACUAAUAUUUUUCUCUUUAACCAUACAUGUGUUAAUUACAUUUACAAAAUAACUUUAACAUGUAUAUUUUUAUUUAUUUUAUAAUUUUUUUUGGAGUUUUUCCAAAUAUUUUCAUGAAUUUCGAAUAAUUUUCAUCUCAUCAAUAUUUCUGUCAAACUAUCCACUGAUAUUUCUUUAAUAUUUUCGAUAUAUCCAUGAAAUCCAAGUAUUAAUAUAUCUGUAUUUAUUGAUAUUUUAAACCAUGCUUAUAGUAUCCGUAAUAUAUCUUUUUUUUUUUUUCUCCUUUAUGAUAUCAUAGCCUCAUUUGCUAGGAGCUGAACCUCAUAUGGUCUUCUUAUGUGGUCAUCUCAUUUGAUGGGAGGUCAAGUGUUCACCAACAUGUUCUUUUCCCAAUUUAUUAAAAAGUCUACGUGUAAGCCAAAAAUAGGAGGCUACACAUGCUGAGGAGCAGUAGAGCUAGGAAAUGAAGUGAAGGGGGGCAAAAUAUGAGAAUAUAUGUAUAUAUAUAUAUAUCAGGGAGCAAAAAUGAAUAAAGUUAACAAUAAGAAAAGCUAUGUAGCAUGUAUGCAUGGAAGACAUGUAUAGUCAGUGAAAAACUGCAAUCUUGAGAUAGAUGGGAUCAAAUCACCUGCAUCCGCCAAAGGAGGUCGCUGCUGGGCUUAACCUGAUAUCGGUUUUUCCAGAAGUUCUCACGAGCUGCUUCGACCUCAUUUCGCUCUUCUGGGGUUCCAUAGUCAGGAUCAAACUCCCAUAUCUGUCUUCCCACGAAGUUGUUGGUGCUGUAGAUGUAGGGAUCAUUGCCCCCAUCUGCAACCUUGAGCCUCCACAUUUCUAACUCACCAAACUGAAGAGAUAUAUCUCUAUAUAUAUCUAAGUUUACAAAUAUGUGUGUCUAUCUUCCGAAAACACCUGCUGAUCAUCCAAUCAUCAUAAAGGUAAAACAGACUUUUCUUCGCAAUAAAAUUAAAUUAAAAUGAUACAGACCAAAGACAGAGAGACAGGUGCUGGGUGGGCAGAGAAGAGAGAAACUUCAGAACCUUGGAAUGGUGAGUUGCAGGUGGAAUCAUUCAUUCAUAUAGAAGCACAACACGAAGUCAGUCACUAACCCCCGUCACUUCUAUUAAUUCUUUUUUCACCCACUUCAGUUUGUGGAAAUUAGUGUAGAGUGAACAUUUUUGGACUUUCAAGUAUUUUAUAAUUGAUAUAUUUUUAAAAACGGUUAGACCAUUAAAGAAUUCAAUGCAUUAGGUCUCAUAUCAUUUUAGGUCACUUUCUACUAUCAAUGAAUAGACCAAACACAUUAAAUUUUCUUUACUCUGAAGUCGUUUAACACAUGGAGAAAGUUAAUAAACUCGAUCGGUGUGGGAGGUUUAUUUUCUAUUAACUUCUAUAACAAAUAAAUAAAUAAAGUACAUCCCUUUUUUUUCAAAAUUCAUAGAUGAUUUUAUCCCUUAAGACUCCCAAAGCACAACUUUGAUAAGAAAUAUUUGAUUUUUUGUACAAUUUAUAAUUAAAAUAUUAAUUUUUAAUUUAUUCUUAUCUAUAUAUAUUUAUGUCUAAUAUAUUUAAUUAGUUUCUAAUAUAUUCCGCAGUCCAUUAUUUAGGUCAUACAAUCAAUCCUAAAAUUAAUAUAUUUUAAGACGUACUUAAAGAAAUGAUACAUCAAUUAGGUAUAUAACAUUUAAAUUAGAUUGUAGUUAUGAUUAAGCCACGUUUUUCCCUUACACAUCCCACUAAAGCCGAAAAAACAAAAAGGGAAAUAAAUGACCUUUUGUGUUGUUGCCAUCAGUUAUAAUUAGGGUGAACAUGGAGCAGAUGUGUUGUUGGACCUCCUUAUUCCUAAUUUCCAAUUAUAACUAGGCUUUUGAUCAAAUAAUUCAUUCUAAGAAUGCAUAUGAUAAUAUUUCUAUUCAAAGUAGAAAUAUUGUAAGUAAUUUUUUAACUUUUUAAAAGUGCUUUAUAAAUUUUAUCAAACAAUGCAAAAAUCAUAUCCUUUCUUUCCUUCUUCUCUCUUUCUAUCCAUUGUAACUUAUGCAGAAACUUCGAAUUUUAAAAAAAAAAAAAAACAACCAAAAACAAUUCUCUCUUUUAUUCUUCAAAUUUGCAAAUUCAUUAUGGCAUCAGAACUUGUCAAUUAAAGAAUUCAAACUCUGCAUUCAAUCCUUCAAAUUCAUCAAUGCUCAAACCCAAUUUCCAUUUAGUCGUCCACCACAAACUUUCUCCUCUAGAAGACUCAAAUGAGACAUAAGGUAGCUAGUAGAAAUAAAUUGCUACAUAUGUAUUCUUAUUAGUGCAACUAUGAAGGACCCCCACUAAAAGAUUUAAUUUUUUAUUUAGUUGUAGUUAAGAGUUGGCCGAAACUAUAGGCUCUCAUUUGAUUUUUCUUUUUUAGGAAUUAUCGAAUACAAACUGAUUUUCAAAAAAAUAAAAUUCUAUGAAUACCUCUAACAAUAAUAAUACUCAUUAGCAUUGAGAAUAGAGAAGAAUUUGUUGUAUUCCAAAUAAAAUAUUUUCAUAAUAAUUUUGAUGGAUAAUACCAUGAUGUUACAAUUUAUGGUUUAAACUACCAAACAAAAAAAUAACACAAUCCUCGCUACGAGUUCAUACUAACACAUUAAGCCUUUCUUUCUUCAACUUUGUUGGAGCGAUGAUAAACGAGACGUUUAUGAAGUAAUCGAAAUAGGGAUGUAGAGUGAGACUGGAAGAAACGGCUGAGAAUGAAAUCUAAACUCUUUUGGGGUGAGGAUGAAAUGCUUACAAUGUUGAAUAUAACAUCUGGCAUGUAAGGAACUCUACCAUAGUCAACUACUGAUUCUCCCAUUGGACUUGGUAGACUCUGGCAAAGCUAUGGAACAAACAAUUUCAGUACUUGACACUUGAAUAAAAAUUUCUAAGGAAACGCUUCCCAACAAAAGAUAACUUUUUAUAGCAAACUUUUGUUCCUCUCGCUUCUUCUUCUUCGACCAGUGUUUUGAUUCAUGGGCUGCAACAGAGAAGGUUUAGCUUUGUAGUUAAGAUAUUUUGGUCAGAAGCGCAGUAGGGACAAGCCCUUCAGCAAAAUCUAUGAAUUGAAGCAUGGGGGGCUUCUUUGAAUAAAAUCUACUUUUAUUCCCGCACAAAAAAAUAGUUCUAUAAAUGAAACUCCCAGACUGAAAAAUUUUGAUUUGCAAUGUUAACUACAAUUUAAUUAAUUUAGGGUUAGAAUCUUACCUAAACUUCAAACUCUGAACCUCUAACCCUCGAGCCCUAAGAUCUCUAAUUCUCUAAUUUUGGUUGAUAGGGUUUUCUGAAUAAAGAAGGUAAGAGGAAGAUCUAAUUUAUACCUAGGAUUAUUAAUUGUAAAAGGACUCUUUCACCCUUAAUGAGUUUAAUUAAUGAAUUAAUUACUUGUAAUUUACUAUUUUGCCCUUAAAGUAAAUUUUGGGGUGUUACAUCCUCCUCUCCUUAACAAAAGUUUAGUCCUCUAAACUUGACAUAACUGGGUCUUGAAAAAGACAUGGGUGCUUUUCUCUCAUCUCCUUUUCUAAUUCCAAAGUGGCUUCUCAAAUACUAUGAUUGCUCCAUUGGAUCUUUACUAACUUGACAACAGCAUGAUGUAGUACGUACCUUGUCCAUCACAUCCACAAUCUGAAUUGGUACUUCUUCAUAAGUCAAGUCUUCAGAAAUCUAAAUAGGCUCCAACUCCAUCAAAUUUGAAAUGUGGAAUAUAUUAUGAAUCUUAGACAAGCUUGGGGGCAAGGCCACUUUAUAUGCCAAAGUGCCUACUCUUUCUAAUAUCUCGAAUGGACCCACAAAUCGAGGACUAAGCUUUCCCUUUCUCCCAAAUCUCAUCAUAGAUUUCAUAGGCAAUACUUUUAAGAAAACAUUAUCACCUACCUUAAACUCCAAAUUUCGCCUGCGAUUGUCAGUAUAACUUUUCUGUCUACUUUGAGCUGUCUUUAAUCUUUUUUUAAUUAAGGCAAAUAUUUCAACUGUUAACUGAACAAGUUUAGGCCCCAAAAGUUUUCUUUCUCCAACAUCAUCCCAACAAACAGGAGAUCGACAUUUCCUACCAUAUAGCCCCUCAAAAGGUGUCAUCCCAAUGCUAACUUGAAAGUUAUUAUUAUAGGCAAACUCUACUAAAGAUAAGUAAUCAUCCCAAUUACCUUUUAAGUCUAAAGUACAAGCUCUCAACAAAUCUUCCAAAACUUGAAUUACCCUUUCUAAUUGACCAUCAAUCCGAGGAUGGAAAGCAGUACUAAAACUCAACUUAGUACCCAAAGCUUUCUAUAGAUUAUGACAAAAUUUAGAAGUAAAAUGAGGAUCUUUAUCAGAUACUGUUAGGAAUUUGAGGCUAAUCCAACCUAUGAUAAUCACCCUAAAGGGGGGGUGAAUAGGGUGAUGGUCUCUUUUUCAAAUUUAAACUAAGUAAAAAUAAGAGACAAUUUAUAUGCAAGUAUAUGAUAAGCAAAAUAAAGACAAUUGCAUAUAAAUUAAAAGAGUUAGGGAAGAGAGAGAGCAAACACGAGAGUUUAUAGUGGUUCGGCGCAACCCGGCCUACAUCCACUCUCCUCAAUCUCCUAACCGAGUGAGGGUUCCACUAGCUUGAAGCUUCAACCAAGCUUCCAAUCUUCUUACAAUUGGAUUAUGGUUCCAAUUGACCCUCUUGGACUUUUGGCUCCAAGCACCCUUUACAAUUCUCAAGAGAUGUCCCUCUCUUGAAACUUCCUCUCAAGGUUUACAAAUAAUGAUCUCAAAGGUUUACAAAAAUCCUAGCACAAGAAUUUUAAGCUCAUAUGAUACAAGAAAAGCUAGGAUUGAAUGGUGCACUAAAGAUAUGCAAGUUAUGAAACAAUGGUGCACUCAAAAACACUCUUCCAAGGCUCAAAUAUAAUCAAGAAUGACUUGGGAAGGUUAAGCUUUUUAAACAAUGAAGAUUGGAGCCUUUUUAUAGAAGAAAAAAGCCAAACUAGCCGUUUGGGGUUCGACCGGUCGAGCUGGGGGUCGACCGGUUGACUAGCCGUUAGCAUUUAAUGCUUGGCAGGAGACCGUUGGGCCUCGACAGGGUCUCGACCGGACCUUGACCGGACCUCGACCGGACGAGGUUCGACCUUGACCGGUUGAACAACCGUUCUGGAAGAAAGAGAAAAUUUUUACAUUUUUCGAACGGUCGACCGGGGUACUGUUCAUCCGGUUCAACCGGUUGAGCUGGGGGUCAACCGGUUACUGUUCAUCCGGUUCACCCGAUUUAGCCAAUUGAGUCGUUUUUUGCCCAACAACCAACUUUUCCAACUUAUAACCUUUUAAACAAGUUUGAAACAACAUUUAACACAAGGUUUUAGUUGAAAACAUGAAAUCAUCCAAUUUUAAAAAUAUUUAAAACUAAAUAACUCUUGGAUGAUUUAGGUGCAUAAGUAAGGAAAAUAAUGCAUGGAAAUCCUAGUGCACCAACAACCUUACAAAGAGACUUAAGAAGCUUUGGUCUUGAAAAACUCUUCUCUUUGAGGUGGUCUUCUUCUUCAUGAUUUCUCCUUGGCUUGAUUUGUCUUUGGAUUGCCACUUUAGAAGUCAUCUUGCCUAAUCACACUUAAAAUGUAGUCAUUAGUUCUAAACCUUGUUUUGUUAUCAUCAAAAUCAAGAUUAACCAAACCUUGGUUUCACAGAUACUAUGGAAACAAGUACACCAUGCAUUCUCACAAUCUCCCUGACAUAUAAAGAAGCUAGAUGGUCCAUAGAGAAGUUGAUUUUCAUAGGCAAGAAGUGAGCAGACUUUGUCAAUCGAUCAACAAUCACCCGAAUAGUAUUAUUGCCCCCUAAGGUCCUUGGUAACCCUAUCACAAAAUCCAUAGUAAUAUGUUCCCACUUCCACUCAGGAAUAGAAAGUGGUUGCAAAGACCCUGCUAGUCGUUGAUGCUCAUCUUUCACUUGUUGACACACUAAACACUAAGCGACAAAUUGUGUAAUAUCUCACUUCAUACUUGACCACCAAUAAUUUUGUCUCAAAUCUUUGUACAUCUUUGUUCCUCUUGGGUGGAUCGCAAGCCUAGAACAAUGAGCUUCCUCCAAAAGCUCCCUCCUUAAGUCUCCAUCAUUUGGGACACAAAGUCUAGUCCUAAACCUCAAAAUCCCAUCAUUUGAUAAAACAAAGUUAGGCUUACUGUCCUUUUUAACCUUUUCCAUAAGUUGCACUAAUUUCAAAUCAUUCUUUUGUAGGGCCUUAAUUCUCCCAACUAAGUUUGGUUGCACUCUAAAAUUCGCCACAAGUGCUCCUGAUUCUAGAAAUCUAAUAUGGACAUGUAAACUCCUCAAAUCCUCUACUAAUCGCCUUUGACAACCUUUAAUAGCUACUAGGGAACCAACUGAUUUCCUACUUAAGGCAUUAGCUACAACAUUCACCUUCCCUAGAUGAUAUUGAAUAAAACAAUCAUAGUUCUUGAGUAGUUCUAUCCAUCUUCUUUGUCUCAUGUUCAAUUCCUUUUGGGAAAACAAAUACUUCAAGCUCUUAUGAUCAGUGAAUAUUUCACAAGUUUUACCAAAAAGAAAAUGUCUCCAAAUCUUAAGUGCAAAAAUCACUACAGCUAACUCCAGAUCAUGAGUGGGGUAAUUUCCCUCAUAAGACUUCAACUGUCUAGAAGCAUAAGCCACAACUUUUCCAUGUUGCAUAAGGACACAACCCAAACCCUGAUGAGAGGCAUCACUAUACACUACAAAUCCUCUUGAACUUGAAGGGAUAGUUAAAAUAGGAGUCGUCACUAAUCUAUUCUUUAACUCCUGAAAGCUAUGUUCACAGUCAUCAAACCACUAAAACUUAACCCCUUUCUAUGUCAACUUAGUCAAAGUAGGGCGAUCUUAGAGAAACCCUCAAUAAAUCGUCUAUAGUAACCAGCUAGUCCCAAGAAACUUCGGAUUUCAGUCACAGUAUUAGGUCUCCUCCAAUUUGCUAUAGUGUCUAUAUUUCCAGGCUCAACUGAGAUGCCAUCCUUAAUUACCACAUGCCCAAGAAAAGAGACUUUAUCUAACCAAAACUCACAUUUUUUCAAUUUAGCAUACAAUUGCUUAUCUCUUAGAGUCUACAAUACAAUACUCAAAUGGCGCUCAUGCUCUUCUCCACUCCUUGAGUACACCAAAAUGUCAUCUAUAAAAACCACCACAAACUAAUCUAGAUAUGGUUUGAAUACCUUAUUCAUUAAAUCCAUAAAAGCAGUAGGUGAAUUAGUCAAACCAAAAGGCAUAACCAAAAACUCAUAAUGCCCAUACCUAGUUCGAAAAGCAGUUUUGCAUCCUCACCUCUAACCCUUAGCUAAUGAUAUCUAGACUGAAGAUCAAUCUUAGAGAAUACAGAAGCACCCUAAAGCUGAUAAAACAAAUAGUCAAUUAGAGGAAGAGGAAAUUUAUUCCUCUCAACCAUGUAGAUAUUAUCUGCUUUGGACCCAAAAGGGCCUUCACGGCUUUAAAACGCGUUUACAAGGUUAAGAGAAGUCUAUACUUAUAUAGCACCAGGAACUUUCCCCCCUAUCUAAUGUGGGAUGUCACACAUCAGAUUCUUCAAAGGAUUGUGGCAUGCAUAAAAGAUAUCACAACUUACCUUGUCUAAGCAUGAAAGGUAGCUUUAUCCCCAACCACCAUCAUCUAGUUGUAACUUGAGUAGAAAAUCAGUUGUUUUGCGAACAGCAAGACAAUUUUGGUACGCCUUGCCGAUAGCUGCUAGCCCUCUCAGUGCAAACCAUGUGCCAUAGGUGAAGUAAAACCAUGUGCCAUAGGUGAAGUAGAGUCCCUAUUUUCCAUACUUAUGUAAAUGUUUCCUCAUGUAAAUCGAAUAUUCAAUAACUCAUACAAAAAAAAAAAAAAAAUUGUGCAAAUUCUUGAGCAAAUCUAAUAGUUGAGUUUAGAAACAUAUAUACCAUGAGCCAUCAGGCAUUUGUAUUUCUUCAAUGUACUGUACAACAUUUUUUAUGAAAAUUUCUAUCUCUUGCUUCUUGUGUCCCGGGUAUAACUUCUUAAACAAAACUAAAUCGUGGAUUGCUGAUGCAGUGCACUCAACAUGCUUGGACCAUUCUUCUGUUAAUCUUGAAGGAAUUUAAAGCAUGAAGAGUCACAAAAGAAAUCAACAUGCCUGAAUAGAAUCUUGCUCAUGUGCAAAGACCACAUCUUCAAACAUUUUAGUAGGAUUUAGUGACUGAAAGCAUUCAAGGAUUCUAUUGAUUUAGAUAGAUAGAUAUACAAAGACAGAGAGAGAGAUUCCAUCAACAAAGUUUAAAGUUACUUCAAUAUGUUGAGGUAAUUACCUCCAACCAUUUGGAAGCUCCUGCAGACUCCCAGGCUAAUAAACCACCAUUUUUACUCUAUAAAGGUAUAUAGAAAAUGGGGUUUAUUGAUACCGGAGAAAUAAUUCUGAGAAAGGUAAAUCCAAAGGAGGAAAUAUAAGAAAGCUUCCUACAAUUCUAAAAUCACAAAAGCCAUGAUUUGUUUAGUAAUUGAGACCGUAGAUAUAAUACAAGAAAGAUCAUCCUCACCUGUUGGGAAAGCAGGAGAUUGACAGAAUCAUAUAACCAUUCAAGUUCAAUUUUUUCCCCAACAAUUUCCAGCAGCAUUACUGAGAGAAGGAGACAACACUGUAACAGAGAUGAGAAUUCAAUUAAUGGAAAACCAUGCGACAAGUAUAUGAAGUGUUUGAACAAAAUUUAGUUACCUUCAAACUUUCUGUAGUGCAAUCAGAAACUUGCCAACCAUGAUCCCGAUCUGAGAAUGUCCAAGAUUCCUUAGAAAUGUGUAUGUACAUGCUUCAAAAAUCACCAAAAGGAUUGUCCCUAACCUACAAGCUUAAUUAGCUUUCAAAUGGCAUCAAGAAAUAAUGAUGAUUCAUAAGAAGAGAUGAUCUGAGAAAUUCAAGACAACACCUAAGAUUUCUUUAUGAAGCCAUGUCCUUUCAUGAGCGUGGCUCCAAUUUCAUCUUUGAGAUUACAAGCUAUCAGCUCUUGAAUGGCAAGACUGGUGUCCCACUACUAACUACCAAUGGUCUACAUAUCUCAAUGAAAAUUAUCAAAGUUAGGACUUUGAAUGAAGUUCAAUCUCAAAUACGAAACAAACUCUAAAAAAUAUAUAUAUAUAUCGGAUCUAACCUACAUCUUAAUUCCAUCUUCUGCAAUCCAUAUAUAAUCUAGGGGCCUAGCAAGGUGAAUCUUGAAAGAAUCCCCAUAUGGAUCUUCUACCCAACAAGCAAGCAUACACAAUACCUGCUCAAUUUAAGAGACAUUCUUCCAUUAGAGUUUCUUUUUCCUUUUAAACAUUUCAUAAUACGGACAAUCGUGUUACCUUCUCCACACAUGCCAUGGUAAUAUACCGACUAUUUUUAUCUUCAUAAUGAAUGUUUUUCAUUGUUGUUUCAAGAACCUUUUCUCUCAACUUGUUGAAAGGCAAAAUAUUUGCCACAUCAAAUCCUGUAUUAACAAAUGGGGAUAGUAGAGAUCCUCCUGCAAUAUAAAAUUUUCCAGAAUGUUUCAUGUAAGCAUGAAAUAUUUGGACAGAUGGUUCUAGUAUAACUAAAACUUACCUUUGCACAAUGAUGUCGUACUUUCUUCCAAUCGAUUUCAUUAUAAUGUUGAAGGAAGAGCUCUUCUCUUAGUUCUAGAAAAAGAGGGGUAAUUGGGCCAACGAAUCGUUUACCAUAUAAGUAUGACAUGUUCAUGUUAACCAUCCAAGAAUAGCACCACAUUUUUGCUGCAUUUAUGAAGCAAUUUUUUUUUUUUAAGAAACCUCUAUACAAGAGAAAAGAGAAAUCAGUUUUAGCACAAGAUGGUUAAAGUAGACAUGGAAGUGGCAUUCUGAAUAUCAACCAAACAACAUGCCAAAGCUUAGGUUUCUAACUCAGUAUGUGUGACCUGAUAAUAGAAUAAGACUGAAGGUGACAUGGCUCGACUUGCCUCUUGUCUGUUUUUUAGGCAUUAUUAUUGAUUCUAUAAUGACCCAUUCACAACUAUAUAAAAAUGAUCCAUUCUAGGCCUAAUGUAAGAGGGAGAGAGAGAUUAUGGUUGUUUGGUGGUGAAAACAUGAUUCUAAAGAGGACCCCAUAUCUCUUAUAGAAGGAUGUAGGGAUCAUUGCCUCCAUCUGCAACCUUGAGCCUCCACAUUUUCUAACUCACCAAACAGUCGAGAUAUCUCUCUCUCUCUCUCUCUCUCUCUCUCUCUCUCUCUCUCUCUCUAUAUAUAUAUAUAUAUAUAUAUAUCUAAGUUUACAAAUAUGUGUGUCUCCCUUCCAAAAACACCUGCUGGUCAUGCAAUCACUAUCCUUAUAUCAAAGGUAAGACAAGCUUUUCUUUGCAAUAAAUUAAGCUAAAAUGAUACAGACCAAGGACAGAGAGAUGGGUGCUGGGUGGGCAGAGAAGAGAGAAACUUCAGAAACUUGGAAUGGCGAGUUCCAGGUGGGAAUCACUCAUUCAUAUAGAAGCACAACACCAAGUCAGUCACCAACCCCCAUCACUUCUAAUAAAUAAAAAUAUAUAUAUAAUUAUCAUUUUAGGCCACUUUCAAGUUUCAAUCCGUCAAUCGACCCAACACAUUAAAUUUUACACAUGGAGAAAGUCAACUUCUACAAUAAAAAAAUAAAAAUAAAAAUGAUAUAAUUUGUUUUUUUUUUUAAAAUUCUUAGAUGAUUUUAUUCUUCAAAAUACUGUCCCAACAUAACUUUGAAAAGAAAUAUUUGAUUUUUUUUACAUUUAUGAAUGAAAAUAUUAAUUUUUAAUUUAUUCUUAUUUAUUUAUGUCAAAGAUAUUAAAUUGAUUUCUAAUUCAAUUAUGAAUUUUGUAACAUAAAUUUAUAUUUUUUCAGAAAAUAUAUCAAUCAUUCAAUCCUAAAAUUAAUAUACUUUAAAACAUACAUGAAGAAAUGACACAUCAACUAACAUUCUAAUUAGGUAUAUAGCAUUCAAAUUAUAAAUUCAAGUUUGUAAACACAUCAAUUAAAGUCUCAAUCAACUAACAUGUGAAAGAUUCCAUUUUUGCAAACCCCCCAAAAAAUGGAAAGGAAAUAAAUGACCUUCUGUGUUGUUGCCAUCAGUUAUAAUUAUGGUUCUUGUGGUUGUUAUUUGAACAUAGAGUAGAUGUUAAUCAUGUGACUGCUGCAUUUUUUUUUAAAAGCUGUGGGGCCUCCUUAAUAGUACUAUAAUUUAUGAACAACAGGCUUUGAGAGAGAUGGCUACGUCUUGUAUGUUGGCCCUUGUUUUUCUUUUCUGCUUAUCAUAAUACCAUGUCUUAUCUUUUCCUGUUCUUGAAAAAUGGCCUUAAUGGAGAUCAUGGCCCAUGCAUGCUAAAUAGGUGGCCCUGAUGCUUUAUACGCUACAUGUUCUAAAAGAAAAUCCCGAGACGUCCUCAAAGUGGCAGCUUGUUGUCAUCUUCUUUGCAUGGUAUGGUUGCCCUCCAAAUUUCAUCAAAACGUGUGGAUGCCUUUCACAAAAUCCGGUGGUGCCAUAUUCUUAAAGUGGCAGCCUUCUUUUUUUUUUUUUUUUUACAAAAAAUAAACUGAUGUGUAGUGGAGGUUCAAAGUGGCAACCUUAUUCUCAUCCUAGUAGUGCGUGGUGGAUACCUCUCACAAAAUCUGGUGGUGCAAAAAUCUGUGCGUGGAGGGGCUUUUUGAGUGGCAGCCUGCUGUGUAAAAUCCACAGAUGCAGCCUUGAUGGAGAUCUCUAGGUGCGUCAGUUAAAGCUCCAAUGCAUAAUCAGUCCGGUGCGUCUUAAGGAAGAUUUGGACAUUCAAUGCAUGCAGCUCCCUAUUCUCUCCGAGUAACAAGGACUGUUUAAGCUUUAACUCAGCAAAAGUAUAGCCUGAAAAUUAGAUAUCAAUGAUUAUGGUGCAUUCUGUUGCUUCAAUUGAUAGAAGCAUUGCUGCCCGACCAUAUGUCGUGCCACUGAAUUUAAAUUCUGAAGAUUUUAUAAAAAAGGACUGUUUCAGUUCUGACAAUCCCCAUCUUCUCAUUCCAUUUUCCAGUAGAUUUUAUGUGGAGAUCCAACCACAUGAAUUAAGAGUAAGAAGCUCAGCUAUUACAGGUAUGACGGGCAUGCCUAAACAAUAAUUUCAAGUUUCUAAGAGCAGUAGAUCCCUUCACAUCUUCAGAUUUUAGAAACAAGGCGAAAAAAAUACUCAGACUUCUCCACCCCGCAACCAUUCCAUUGCAAUUGUAAAUAUGCAGUAAGUAUAACCAGUCCAGUCUUGAAGGCCACUUCUUGUGCCACUGUAUUGGCUUUCAUUUUGGGAGCAAAUAAUCACCAGUAGGUCUCGAAAUCGAAAAAAGUUAGUGGCUCCCUCAUCUUAUGUAGCUUUGUACAUAUCUGUCUAGUUAACUCUAGGCUUCAUUAUAGAUAUUACAGUGUUGCGAGCCACGAAAAUGAUAUAUAGCUCCCAUGUCAAACAAUGCCGCAUCUCCAUCCUCAGAGGUUUUACCAUUUAGAGCUACUGUGUGCCACUUUCCCCGCAGCUUGUUCACUUCAAGAAUGCUAAAGUUUCUCCAGAGACAUCCGCAACAAUCAUAAACAGAGGAGCUCUCAGUGAUCUUUUCUAACAAAAGAAUUAUGCUCUUUAUCAUUGAAAUCUUCUUAUUUGUGUUGAACACUCUUGCAUUCUCAAGUUCAACAAUCAGUUUCUCAGGGUAUGUAACAAACUAUGGGGAGAUAUAUCUUCUGUCAAUAUUUGUUCCUUCUUCAACAUCAGCAAUUAUUUCAAGAAAGAAUGAUGACUCAACAAAUAAGAGACCGUUUGGCUCAACCUAAUCAAUUGCAUCAACGAUCUUGAACCCAAUGAACUGUUUAUUUCCCACAGACACAGAAGCAAUAUCUUUGAUAUCAAUAUUGACUUCAACAAGUUGAGCUUACGUCUCCAACUCCUUCACUAACUCACGUACAGUUUUGUAGUUCCCUUUUUCUAUGAAAACUAGAUUUGGACCAGAUUUAACACUUGGCAGGCCCAAGGGCGUGAACCAGAAGUAGAUGAAAGCAACAAAAACAAGGCACGAAUGGGUAAAACAAAAUGGACUAACAAAAGCCACAUUUCAUGCCUAAACAACAGAUCAAGAACAAGUAAUACAAACUAAGAGCAGCAAUAUGAUUAUCAAAUGCCAAACCUAAAGAUAAAUCCAACUAUUUACAAGGGGAAAUCAAAGAAUCCAAAAUGUGACCAGAACAGAGCAUGCAUGCAGACAAUUAGAUUCAGUCAAAGCAACCAAAUAACUCCUGAUGUCCACACCAAAUCAACAAGAUAAUGCUCAUAAAUCUAAAGAAAAUGAAAUAAAACAGUAUUGAAAACAAAGAAGAAAUGAAACUCAUAGUGAUCUUACUUGAAAGGCUCCACCCAAGUAAGGUGUGUUCGCCUUCCACUCAUCAGGAAAUGACCGCUCUUUAAUACUGGUGAUGUUGCUGAUCUCUCAACAUGCCACCAUUUUUCUAAAUUUCCAAUUCCCCAAAUUAUGUGUCUUCUAUUCUCCAACUCACGUGCCUUCUCAAAAGAACCUGGAGAUCCUCCUCCAAAGCAGUGUUAGCUUGACUUCAAGUGAGACCUACCUCAAAAUUUGGCAAAGCCAAUCAAGCUUUCUCUCUUCUGCUCCUCUACCUCUAGUUUUUCUCUCCAUUUUGAACUGGAGAAUCCAUUUUUCUUCCUUCAAACAUCUUCUUCCUCUCUGUCCAAGAAAAAAUCUUGUGCCUUUCUUCCUCUCAAACGUCUCCUCAAUGUCCCAUCCUAUUCUUUUACAACUCUUAUAUCCCUCCUGUCUCUACUCUGCUCCACUCCAAAAAAAAACUUUUGAAUAUCCUCUCGUAAUCCACCAACUUCUCAUUCCUGAUGGCCCUUUUCCACUUUCCCACCAAAACUCUUUAAUUCUCCCAAAAAUUCAACCUAUGUCUCCUUCCCCCAUGGUCUCUUUUUCACUUUCCCACCAAAUUUUUUUUUAGCCUAAAUAAAUGAGUAAAUAAAAUAAAAACAAAUAAAAAGGAAUUUUGGAAAAAAAAAAAUAUAAUAAUAAUAAUAAUACUAUUAAUAUCAAUAAAAUAAUAAUAAUCUUAAUAGUAAUAAUGAUAAUAGAAACAAUGGUGACAAAAACAAUUCUAAUGAUAAUAAUUAAAAAAAUAAAAUAAAAUGACAAUAAUAAUAAUAAAAAUAUACAAUGGCUAUAUAUAUAUAUAAGUAGAUAUGAAAAUGAACAAAUAAAUAAAUAAAUAACUAGAUAUGAGUACGCAACAUGUAUUUAUAAACAAAACAUGCAAGCUACGUAGGUCAUGCAAGCCACGUAGGCCAUGCAAGCCAUGUAGGCCAUGCAAGCCAUGUAGGCCAUGCAAGCCAUGUUAACCAUGCAAAUGACUUACGAGUGAUGGGAUAAGCCUAAGUGGGCUAGGUGCCUAAUGGGCCUAAAUAUGUCUCAGCAAACUGUCAUAAAAGUGUACCUAAUAUCCAAAAUGGCUCAAAGAAGCAAGUUAUAUGAGUAGCAAUGGGCCAAUAAAAACUACUGUGGAAUAAUGAAAGGGCACUUAAUUAGGGCAUUCCAAGGAGACAAAAUGGAGGGUCUACACACUCAAAAGACAAGAUAAAAAGUCGUAUACAUUCAAUCAAUGAAAAAUUAAUCAUGUACUAAAAUAUUAAAAUUCAAUUAUGCAAUCACAAAUAAAAAAUCAAUUAUAAACUCAAAAUUAAUGUCACAUAUAAUCACAAGUAAUAAUCAAAUAGGAACUCAAAAUUAAAAUCAAAUAUUCAAGAUUCAAAUGUGAACUCAAAAUUAAAAUCACUCAUGCACUAAAAAUUAAUCAUGCAAUAAAAUCAAUCACAUGCACUCAAAAUAUCAAAAAUCAUUCAUGUACUUAAAAUAUAAAAAAUCAAUCACACACUAAAAAUCAAAUAACAAACCAAAGCUCAUCUAACCUAAAAACAUGCAAUCAAAAUCAAAAUCAGACCUAAUGCACUCAAAAAAUAGUAACUAAACAAUAGAAGGACUCACUAGAAAAUAAACUCCUAAACUAUAACCAGAGCCACUAAAAAAAACCACACUAAGGAUCCAUAUAAUCCUCCAAGAUAUAUAUCCAAAAAAGGUCCAAAAACAAUGAUAAGGUGAAUAGUAGUAGACCACCAAUGGAGACACAAUAAAAACUAAAAAAUAGAUUCUAAGUGCGCAAUGAAGGAUCAUGAUAUGAAGGAAGACAACUACUAGAUAAAAUGUGCCAAGAUGACAAAAUUGAGGGUCUACAAAUAUGCCCAUCUUCGAUAGAGAUCAAGAGUGUAAUGAAUAGAUCACUGAUACACGAGAGAUGAGUGAAACGAAGUGUCCCAAAUUCCUAAUUAGUAUAGAUUCUUUUUUUCUUUUUUUUUUAAAGAAUAUUAUAUAGAAUAUUUCUAGGUUGAUAUAUUAUUGUAAUAUUAGACUUUCUUAUAGAAUAAGGAAGGUUGUUGGAAAUAUCCCUAUAAAUAUUCUAGGUCAUGAGGAGAAAAAGUUAUGAGAUGAAGAUGGGCUUGUAAAGACUAUGCAAGGUGGAUAAAGAUGUAAAGAAGAACGGGAGGUACCCGAUGGAGUUAAAAGGCUCGUGGUAGGGUAGGGAUACGAAGAGUGGGGAAACACAAGAUGUUUCGAGAACCCAAUAAUUGUAUCUGGUUAUGUCCUUUGUAAUUGUUAACCCAAGGGUUCUCCUAAUUGAGUUUUGAUGAUAACCAACCAUGGUUAAGUGACUAAUUCGUUUAAUGGUUAAGAAUCUCAGGCAUAAACUCGAAAAUUCAUCAAAUGACCAAAUGGAUACAAGAUCGAGACUUUUGGAAGACUUGUGAUCAUAGAAAACAAAUGUAAGAUGAAUACAUGGGUGCACUUAAGUUUUUCAUACUAUUUCAUGCAUUUUUGAAAACUCGGUUUAUCAUUUAAACUUUCAAUUUCAUUAAAACCUAAGUUUUAUCAAAUAUACCUUAGGCAAAAUGUUUUAAAAUUGGCAUAAUAAUUCACCUAAAGACCUUGCCUAAGAGUUAGAAAAUAAAGGAAUUGAAAAAGAUAGGUUUUUGGGGCCAAAUGGCUCAACUGAUCGAGGCUAUGGUCAAUCGGCUCAACUAGUUGGGGAACCGGUUAACCGGUUUCCCUUGUCCGGUCGAGGAUGCCCAAAAUCUUCUCUUUCUCCCAAUAGCCUUUUCUUCCCGAUCGAGGUUCGGUCAAGGCAGCAGUAACCUGUCAAAACAUUAAAUGCUCCAAAGGCUAGUGAUAUGGUCGACCCCUAGCUCGACCGGUCGAGGUUACCUUUUACUGUUUUUGGCUCCCGAGAUUAGAAACCUAUAAGUUGAGAGCUCCACUUCAUUUAUGAACAAGAGAACACUUGCAAUCAAUUGUCUACCUACCUGUUCUUGACCAAAAAGCUCUCAUUUCUUUCUUAGUGCAUUAAAUCAUCACUUGCAUAUCCUUUAGUGCACUCUUAUAUGUCAUCCUAGCUUUAUCUUGUAUUUGAGCUAUCCUUAAGCUAGGUUGAGGGAUUCAUUCUUGUAAAAAUUGAGUGUUAAAGCCUUCAAGAGGUUUGAAUCUUGAGGAGAUUGUGUAAGAGCCCAUUAGAGCCAGAAUCUAAGUGUAAAAAGAUUGAAAGUUUGGUUGAAGCUUCAAGUUAGUGGAACCCUCACUCGGUUAGGAGAUUGAGGAGAGUGGACAUAGGUAAGGAAGUGUCGAACCACUAUAAAACCCGAGUUUGAAUUCUCUAACUCUAUCUCUUUAUUUUUGUUUAUAUUGUGCUUGAACUUGUUGUGUUUAAUUAAUUUUUAAAAAACCCAAUGCUCUGGUUUUGUCCUCUAUAAUGUUCUUUAUUGUAGAGUGAAAUAAUUUUCUCUCAUUCGUGGAUGUUGCCAUGGUUGGCCGAACCACGUUAAAACCCCGUGUACCAUUGUGUUGAUUAUUUUAUCUUUGUGUUCUUGAUUAACGAUGAUUGCGUCAAAACUUCCGCCAUCGCAACAUGAAGUGAACUAUACCAAAGAAUAAAAAAGAGCCUGAAAUUUUGUCCUGACACAUGACAUGAUAAACUCAAGGAUUGACCACACAUGGGGGAAAAUGUACUCUCGAUAAGGGACAUUAAAGAAAUCUUAUGCGAUGAAAUGAUGGAAACAAUGAAUAUGAUAAAAUAAUGAGAACAAGGACUAUAAAACUGCCAUCUCUGAACAUUAAGAAACUAUGACCUUGAUCGCCAAAGAGAGAAAAAAAAUUGCUUUAAACGUCAAAUAAAAAAUAAUGGCUCUGAACACUAAACCUAAGAAGAAUGGAUCUAAACGCCAACACUAGGAAAACAAAUGGCUUUGAACGCCAAUACUAAAAACAAUGGCUGUGAAUGCCAAACUAAAAAUGAUGACUCUAAAUGGUAAAUAAAAAAAUAAUAGCUCUAAAAGCUAAACCAAAGAGGUGGUUUGUACCUUUCCUAAGAAAAGUAUACUAGAGAUCUUUAGAAAGCACAUAUGCUAGAUUGUUCUGCCAUAGCCACGCUUACAUCUAUUAAAGAUUCACUAAUUAUAGAUUAUUUACAACCUUUGAAUUUGAGUAUGACACCUUGGUUGGUACCCUCAAAACCAAAUAUCACUCACGCAGUUAACAAAGUGUGCCAAGACCUCCAACAACCAAGGCAAAUCUUAAGGAUGUGAAACAAAUCCUAUGUUGUUUAAAAAGUACCUUAGAUUACAACAUUCACUUAUUGGCUUAAAGCUCAAUAUCAUUAUAUGAUUUUGUUGAUUCUAAUCGUGCAGGUUAUCCGAUAACAAUGAGUAGCACCAUUGAUUUUGUGUUUAUCUUGGCAGCAAUUGUAUUUCUCAGUCUUCUAAGAAACAAGAGUCAAUAGUAUGCCCUUGAAUAGGGGCAAAGCACCACUCCAAGAUUGCAACUUUUGCAAAAUUAACUUGGCCUAUAUUUCUUUUAUGUGACAUUAGCUUACCACUUCCCCAAUUUCCAUUUCUCUUUUGUGAUAACAUAAGUGCAUUACACAUGGCCAAAAAUCUGGUGUUUGAUGCACAAACAAAGCACAUUGAAUUAGAUUACCAUUUUGCCUGUGAAAAGUUGUUGUGGGACACCUUUAUGCUAAAUAUGUUCCUAGUUAUCUUCAAAUAUCUAACAUUCUUGCUAAGACUCUAGCUAGAAAGGCUUUUAGUAUGUUUAGCUUCAAGUUAGGAGCUCAAUGCAUGACCGCACUAGCUUGAGGGGGUUAAACCUCCUUUACAUUUAUCUCCACAACCAAACAAAUCAACAGGUCACCUUUUGAGACAAAUAUGACAAUAUGCAAGUGUAGACCCUCCAUCUUAUCCUAGUAGCAUAUGUUAUUCAAUAUAUUUUCCUUCACUUCUCAUUGCCUUAUAGUCGUCCCAUGGUGGUUUAUUUGUCGCUCAUUUGGUACUAUUUUUUAAGCCACCUUCAAAGAUUCAUUGUUGAUGGAUUUAUUUAUUUAUUUAUUAUUUUUUAUGGAUCCCAAUUGUGACCUUAGUUGCAUGCUUAGUCUAACUCACUUAGUUUACUUAGUUGCAUUUUAGGUUUAGUUCACUUAGUCACAUGCUUAGUCUAGCUCACCUAGUUCACUUAGUUGCAUUUUAGGUUUAGUUCACUUAGUUGCAUGCUUAGUCUAGCUCAGUUAGUUUACUUAGUUGCAUUCUAGAUUCAACUUACUUAGAUGCAUUUUAGGUUUAGCUCACUUAGAUGCACUUUGGUUUAGUUCCCUUAGAUGCACUUUAGUCUAGCUCCCUUGGGUUCAUGCAUGAGGGGAUUUUUAGGAAGGAAGAGACCUUUUUUUUUUUUUUAGGAAGACACAAUUGCACAUUGCAUGAGGAGAAGAGAUUCAUGCAUAGGAAAACUUUUAUUUGGAAUAUAUGGGCUAUCAUUGAGAGGUACACUACUAUUAGAGACUAAUUUUGGAAAAAGGAGUUAGAGCUGACACUAAUUGAUCUUGAAGAAAAAAUGAAGCAUCUUGAGAAUAAAAGUCGAAGUUUUGAAGAUCAAGAAGGCAAGACUCAGUGCAGGGAAACAAAGAAAGAAGUAAGCUUGCAAUCUUUUGGAGGAAAGGUAUGAUUUUUUUUUUCUUGCAUAUCUCGAUUAUGGUUAUCUCUUUAUUUAUUUUUUUUUUCCCAUCAUGUUUGAGUGUAGGAAUUCUCUUUGUUUGGGGUAGAUAAUGAAGGCCACUUUGAUUGUUGUUAAUUGGAUUGUUGAUGACAUAUUAAUGAGAAGUUGAUGAAUGGUUAAUUGAUCUCAUGUUGAUUAAUGCUUAUUAGAAUUGAGAUUAGAGUUAUUUUCUUUGGAAUUAUUUUCAAUUGAUUGAGGCCUUUUGAUAACAUACAAUAGGUGGCUAAGAGAUCCUUUAUUUGAUUUUUUUAUGCCUUAGGUUUUAUUUUUGGUUAUUCAUUUUUUAUUAUGAUGUUUGGAGUGUUCACCUUGCUGUUGUUUUGUUAGAAUUAUUGAACCUUUGUAAUUAAAAAAUUGAAUCAGGUUAUUUUACGUCUCUCUAAAAUUUUUCAUAUGAUUGCAUGAUGUUGUAGACUUCCCAAAUAUAUUGAUAGAAGUUUGUUUGAGUCUAAAAUCAUUUUUCAAUUAAGAGAUAUAAACCAAUUUUUCAAUAGGUUCAUUUUUUCACUCUAUUUUGCACACCCAAAAUUGUUUUUUAAAAUUAAAUUAUUUCAUGAUCUCUAUAAUUUUUUUUUUUAUAUUUUUCCAUUAUUAUAAAUUCUUAAGUUUAAUUUUAGGACCCUGAUUUGUUGAAAAUCGAUUCUCUAAGUAGAAGAAAAAAACUCUUUUUCCUACACCUAUUGCACUAACCCCUUUUUGUAGUCAAGGGAAGUUUGGCUUAAUUUAAAAAUUCACAUUGUAUUAUUAAGUCAUGUUGUUAUUUUUUCUGUAAGUUAGAUAUAUUGAAGGUAUUGUACAAUUUUUUUUUCAUAAUUUUGUCAUGCUUAUAAAUAGAUUAAUUAAAUUAGUAUUUUCAUGCUAUAGGAUUUUGCUCUAUUUCUAAUCAAUAUAUUUGUGAUUAAAUCAAGUAUUAAACGAGAUAUGAUUUGAUGAUGAAGCCUUUUGGGUUGUAAUCUAGACACAUAGGGGAUGUUGUCCAAGUAUUUUCAUGGUGAAAUUUCAUCUGUAGAUAUUUGUUUAGGAUAUAUUUUGCAAGUGUCUUUGUUCUAGAUGCAUGUUGAAUAUUGUUCUGUAAAGUGUCCUUAAUUAAAUGUUUUGGGAUUUUGCAUUGUAAUAUAGAGACAUUGAAGAUGUUACCAAUAAAGUAGUGAUUUUGCCACUGCAAGGCUCUUCAAUUUCUUUCUUAAUUUUUCAAUUUGCACGACUGUGGAAACUUUUACACAUCAAUCAUUUGCUACAAUAAUAAUCAUGUAAAUUUGGUCCACUUUUCCCAUUCUCUAUAAUUGAUUAGCUUAGGAGCUGUAUGGAGAGGAAAAUGACAUGGGUCGGUGUUUGACAAUAAUAUAUAGGAGACCUCUGAUGCAGGCUCUUGGCAUUAAAAUGAGCUAAAGAUGGGUUUGGAAACCACUUUCAAAUGAAAAUUGACAUGCAUAAUUUUUGGUGUAUUUGUCACAUGCAAUAAAAAUUACUUAAAUAGGAGUGACUUUGUCACAUGGCUUCAGAUGGAAUUACAGCACAGUAUUGGAAUUAGUAUUCAAAUGGCUGCCCUAUGGAGAGUUUUUUAGGCCUCAAUCCUAACAGUAUAGGUUGACCACUCGGAAAUUAGGACCACAAACUAGCCUAGGCUUGAUCCAGGCACUGCUUAUGGACACAUUUCACUUAACUUCUUUGAUCUGUUACUUGUAUUUAUUGUGACACUUGUUCCUUCUUGUUUAUCUGAUCCAGGAAGCUUGUUUUAUCAAAGAAGCAAGACCUUUCGAUGUUUAUGGAUGAAUUCCUCUUGUCAGCAUUGGUUCUUUAAUAUUCACCAAAAAGUGAACAAGCUUGGAGCCUUAGGUAGAUAUUUUACAAAGCCUUCUGUACUGUUAUCUUAUGCUAAGUACUGAAUAUAAAUGUUGUUGAGGGUACCACCAGUGACAUGCAGAUGCAAUGUUUAUUAUGAGAACACCAACGGCAUAGUGCAUCAACGGAUAUUUGAGUUUUCCGAGAAGGAGGCCUUUACAUCAUCGACCAGAUCAGGAUUAUUUGAUUUUAGUAAGGUCCUGCUAUUGUUUUAUUCUCUUGCACAAACUAUUCUUCAAAAUAUGAUUAGAUAAUCUAAAGUCAGAUCAAUGCAUUUUACUGAAUCACGGGAUACAUCCAUGGACUCACUACCAUAUGCAAAUUCUUUACAUACAAGUAGGUAAUAAACAAUAACACGCCAAGAAUUUCUACAAUUGGACUAAAUCGUGACCGUAAAGUUUGAGAUACGAAAGAUAUAAAAACGAAACAAUAAAAUCUUGUAGAAUGAAAAGGUCCCAAUCACGCCAAGCAUUGCUCGCCUAAUUGGAUAUUAAAAGAGGUGUCAUUCACGUCUCACAACCAAUCUGGCACGUUAAUUAGAAGACGUUCCGUAACUGAAGGGAACUUUCAUCUGUGUGCAGUCACCAGGGUUUCUAUAAACCGUAAGCCGUCGAAUCGGGGCGCGAAUUUUUCCUUAUCAGCUGAUGAGGAUGUAUGGGAAAUCUGAGUGUUAUUUUUCCCCAAAGACAGUGGCAAGCCCUAAAGAGAAUAAGACACGAGUGUAAGAGAUCGUGAAACUCUGAAUAAAUAGGAAAGAAAGAAGUUUUACAAAUGCAAAGCCCUAACCUCAAUCAUAAGUAGUAGAAAAAGGUGAUCAAACUUUUCAUUUGCUUAACAUUGUUCAAAGGGUUUGACAUUGCUCAACAUUAUCUGAGCUUUUCUCCUACAGAUGCUUCUUUGGCAUGGCAAUGCAACCAGACUUAAGGCGAUGGCACUCACUUACAUACUCUGCAAGAGCCCACAAUGGAAAAAUAUUCCUGUAAUCUGCAUAGUGUAACAUGCAGUUCUUCAUGAAGGCUCCAGUGAUUUCCUGCCAUAGAUAAUUGAUGAUCAAAUGGUUAGACUACCACCCAGUAUAUAUAGUCAGCUACAAAAGAACAUCAUUUU